rnacentral:lncRNA from 1 species
UUGCAAGUGAAAUUGUCUUGUGGUUGAAAUUGGCAACUGCCUUUCCAUUUGGAAGGAGGUGGACCAAGUCCUUUGUCAUCAAAGCUUAGAGAUUCAGGCCAAAUUCCAGUGUCUAAAACACCAAUGAUAACAUCACUUUCCAUGGUUGCUCUUUCAACUUGUUGAGGGAAUCCCAUAAAAUCCCAUGACCUUGUUGUAUGUAGUUUUCUCUUUUCAUUUGGAAACACUGAUACUACACCCUUCAUUCCUGAACAUAUCCAAACAACCAAAAUUCAAAUUAAGCUCGAAGAUCUGCGUCUUAAUCCACAGAGUAUUUCCGCUUUGACUUUUAAAGUAGACCUAUUAUUAUAACUCGAACUUGAAAUUUUGAUUUGUUUAACUCGAAUAUGAACUUGAUCUAACUUGAUUUGAUAUAAAAAGUAACAAUAUGAAACCAGAGGGGCAUGGUAAGGUCUUGACCCUCACCUUGGUUGAAUGAGAACUCUUUAAUCCUUCCCAAAAAAUUGUAUAUUUUUAGCAUUUUCAAAAGAUUAAUAAUAUAAUUUAAGCUUUUGAAUAUAAAAAUUUUAACCUUGAUCCCUUCAAAGUUUUAUAAUUUUAUUUUGGAUCUCUAAAAACUUCAUUGCUUCACCCUUGAAACUGGUUCAACUUGAACUAAAAAAUGAACCAAACUUAAGUGCCAAAUCCGAAUGAAAAAAACUCAAAAAGCUCAAUUGAAAAAUCUGAAUGAUUCAAUUUUGAAAUUGACCUGAACUCAAAAAUAAUUCAAACUCGAAGUAAUAUAAAAAUUUUAAAACUUGAAUUGACUCAAUCUAGAAUAAUCAAAUUUGGAAUCAAUUGAACAUGUCUGGUUACAAGUCUAGUUGAAAAUAUAGCGCUCUCUUUUUUACUUGAAAUUCUUAUAAUUUUGUCUAAAGUUUACCAAUCUAACCCUUGAUUAAAUCAUUCAAAUCAUCUGUUAAGUCAAAUUGGUUCGCUCAAUAUAAAUGUUGACCUAAUAAUAAUUAAAUAAUUAAUUCAAAAUUCAUAAAUAUUAUAAAAUAUUGUAAAAUCGAUUCAAGCGCUAAUUUUUUAUUUUGAUUUCUAGUUUUUUUAAUUGAACCCAAGUGAUUCACUCAAAAAUUAAUUCAACUCUUGUUUUCAUAUCGAUAUAUUGAUCGGUCUUGUUCAACCAAUCCGACCUAUCAAUCUGAUUUGAUACAAAUAACACUGCUUUUAUCAAAAAAAAUGGAUAAAUACAAACUUAAACGUUAAUUUGUAUAUAUAUUAUAAUGGAUUUGAAGAAAUUUUAAAUGUGAGGUUGGAGUGUUACACUUACCGGCCAUUUUUUGUGCUUCUUCCUCAGUCAAAUCCACCACGAACCCAUUAAAACUCUUUUUGUAGCUGUACAGCACUGUCUUCGACUCACUGCAUUCAUUCCAAUUGCAUGCUCAAUCUCAAUAACCAGUAGUAGGUCUUAUUUUGUUUUGGGAUAAAUAUAAUUAAAUAUUACAAUUAAUAAUUAAUUAAACACUUGUAAAAUAGAAUUUAAAAUUCCAUAUUUACUAUCUAAAAAAAUGUACUCGUCCGGCUCUUUAUUCACUUAAAAAAAACUGCUCCAUUCGGAACAAUUUAAUUUAAAAUCCGUUGUAUGAUUUGAAUUUUGUCAUCUCUACUUUGCUUUCAAGAUUCUUUUUUAAAGAAAUUAAAACGUUAGAAUAUAAGAACAUAUAUUUUCUUAUCUAUAUUUGAAUAUAAGGAUAAAGUCAGAAAAUUAUUUUAGAGAAGUUAGAGAUAAAUCAUAAAUUAUUGAUUAACGGUAUAAUUUUAUCAUUAUAUUAAUAUAUAAUUUUAUAAAAAUUUAAGAAAUUAAAUAAUAAAUCUAUUAUUAGGAGGGGCUAAGGCUAUUGACUGCCCUUUUACCUUGGUCCCUGUUUAUAUAUAUAUAUAUAAAAUAUAAAUAUCAGAUACGGAUAUUUAAAGAAAAAAUCAGAGGCAACAUAUGUUUACACACCUGCCAAAAACAUCUUGUACCAUGCUGCUAUGAAGCAAAGCUGUGGAAGCUCCAUCUUUAAGUCGGUCACCCAUAUACACAAUAUAGCUCUGAAUAUUCACCGAUUACAAUUUUUAUUUUUCUUAAAAUGAAGUUCAUCACCAAUGGAAAUUUUAGAAAAAAAAAAAAGACAAGAAAUUAAAUCCAGUAUUAACCUUUCGAUUGGCAUUGGCGUUGGAUUGAAAAAGAUGAGAGGCUGCUUUGGUAGUAAGAAGAGCUAAAAGAAAGCAAUGAAGUAGAUAUUUUCCUCCCUCCAUUGAAACAAUGCUCACACAAAAAUAAAUAACAAACUUUUCCAAGUAGUAUAUUUAUGGAGAAAAAUAGAUGCUAAAGUCUUAGUCUUUGUGGAAAUAAAUUAUAUUAGAAAUUUAAACUUUUCAUACUUUUCUUUUGUUUUAAUUUAUAUUUGGGAUAAUAUUUAAAAUUGUAUAUGAAUUUGUUGGAUAAUUACUACAAAAUUUUCUUUACCGUAAUUUUAGUAAAAUGUCAAAAUUUUAGAGAAAAGAGAUAUGAGAAAAUCAAGAAGAAUGAAUGAAGCUCUCUUGUUGCUUAUAAAAAAUAAUGACCUCCAAUUUAUAGGAUUCGGGUAAAGUAGUUCAGGAAAUUCAAAGGCCAUAUUGCAAUGAUUAGAUUCUAACGGUCAUAUUAUUGCAUUACCUUCGUUAUAAAUUAUAUUUGGGAUAAUAUUUAAAAUUGGACAUGAAUUUUGGUCAAAUAUGUAAUGUUAUAAUUAUUUCUUUAAAUAUAAUUAUAUUUAAAAAGAAAUUGGAUAAACCAUUUAUUUUAUUUAUGUUUGGAUUAAAUUUUUAAUUUUUAAAAAUAAUCGUGUAUUAUGUCUAUUUCCUACCAUGGUAGCUUAUUAAAUAAGUGUUCCUAAAUUUUUAUAUUUUUGUGGAUAUGAAAAUAUGACCUACACAUUUUGAUUUUUCUUUAGUAUCAAUAAAUUUGGGGUCACCAAUUGCUACAACUAGUGAACUACUUUUCAAUAUUAUUAUUAUUUCAUUAAAGAUGGAGAAAAGUAUUUUGAGAUUGAGAAAUUAUUAGGUAAAUUGUUCCUAUUAAAUAAAUUAUUAUUUUAUUUGAUAAUUUAUUGUAUAAUAAUGUUUUAAAUUUUUUUUUCUUAAGUAUUACUUAAGGGUGAAUUCAGUUUGAUUCGAUAAUAUUUUUUAAAAAUUAUUUAUGAUAAUUUUGAGUUUUAAGUUUUCGGAUUUUAUUUUAACAAAAAGAAUAUAUACAUAUAUUGAGAAAUAAGUUUGAUAUAGAAUUUUAGGUAUUUCUAAAGGGAUUUGAAUAAGUAACAAACUUAACCACGAAGUUAGAAUAGGAGAAAAUAGGUCAAAUUCUGUUAUUAGACACUAUAUUUUGAAUAAGUUGUGGAUUUAGUACCAUAUAUUAAUUUAGUCAUUUUCAAUCUCUAUACUUUUAAAGUUUUAAUCUUGACCAAAUGAAAACUAUCACAUUAAUUCAGUUCUGUUAUUUUUAAAAUUUGACACGUCAAACAUAUUAUCGCAUAUGUAAUGUCAUGUCAACUUGCCAUCUCCAUAUAUUACUCGCAGAAAACCAAUUAAUAGAUUUAACAGUUGUCGUUUACAUUAAGAUUAAAAUUUCGGAAUUCAGAAAAUAUAAGACUAAGAACGAUCCAAUUCGAGAACAUGAUCUACAUCUCUAACUUUACACAUAAUGCAAGACUAAUAAUAGAAUUUAACCAAAUAGAUUUAAUUGCUAUUAUUUGGUCAGGAUUAAUUUUUUUAAAAUUUGAAAAAUAAAUAGACUAAAAUUGAUCAAAUACAAAUACAUGUAUUAAAUAUACAAUUGAUGUAAAAUACAUGUUCCAAUGGCAGAAUUUGACCGGAGAAAAUAUGAUAAAUCAGUUUGAUUUUAGCUUGUAUGUGGUAGAAUGACAUUAUUUGGUUUUAUUUGGUGGCGUGUAUGGGAAGCAACCAAAAAAAGGGUAAACCUCAUUCAUUGACCGCUGAUUCAAUUAUUAAUAUAUUUUUACUUAGUCGCUGAAAUUACGUAUUUUGAGAAUUAAAUCGAUAGAAUUUAUAUAUGUAGAGAUUGAAUUGAUUGAUUUAAUUUAAAAUUAGAAUUAAAUUAAUAAAAUAUAUAAAUUUAAAAGCUAAAUAUAUUAUUAUACCAAUUAGAUAAAAGUCAUAUUUUCUAUUAACAAUUUAAUAAUAAUGUUAGUGAUAAAUUUGUAAAUUUUUAUAUUUUGGGUGUCUACUUGCUAUAUAAAAAUUUUUAGUUUUCAUAAUCAUUUUUCCAAAAAUUAUUUUUCAAAUAAAAAAAUGAUUUUUAUAUAACAUUUUAGCUAAAAUUCUAAAGUGUGGAAAUAAAUAAGAAGCUUGACUACGAACUAAUUUGUCUCCUAACAUGUCCUGAGAGAGACAUAGUGUUAGAAUAGGAGAAAAUAUUACAAAUCAGUUUGAUUUUAGUUUAAAGAGGUGAAAUGACCUCUUGGCAUUAUUUGUCGGUUUGUAUGGGGACGCAAGAAAAAUAUUACAAAAAGGCAUAAUGUCAAUUUUAGAUUUUCUCUUUUUAACUUUUAUUAAUUUAGUCCUUUUUUAAUUAAAUUUGAACAUUUAUUUUUCCAAAAAGAAUUAAAUUGUUUUUCUUAAAUAAAAAUACUGAUUAUAAUAUUAUUUCUAACAAUUUUAGCGUGUGAACUCGCUUAAUAGUCUAUUUGUGCUUUAGUCGACAUGAUAUCAUGCCAACAAAUAAUUUAAAAUUUAUAAAAAUAUUUAAAACUAAAAAUAUAAAAAGACGGUUAUUCUUUCAUUUUCGCACUUUUUAUUUUUUAUGAAGAAAUUAAACCCUUAAUUUUCUUUUCUUUUUUUCCCAAUUAAAAUGUUAAAUCACCGUUAAAAAUAAUUUAUAAAUAAUUAAAAAUAAAAAAUAUAUAUUUUAAAAGAACUAUAAAAUUUUCAAAUAUAUAUUAAAAGAAACCCAUCGUGGGUUCUUGGCAGUUGGCAUCGUAGGUGUGGAAUCUUUCCUCACAAGGUCUUGGAUUUGGAAAGAAGCCGAUAAGCAGUUCAAAUAAGGGCUAAGGCCACUCCAAAGUCCAAACGAAUAGACAUCCCGUUUUUGGGUGGGUGGGUCCGCCCUCGGUGACUCCUCCCUUUCAAACCCCCCCCCCCCCCCCCGCCCGGGCCAAAAAAAAAACAACUUUUUGGCUUUCUCAAGUAACCCACAUUUCUUCACCACUUCCCUAACAUGUUUUUAAUGAUUAUUUAACAUUUUUCAUCCAAAUCAAGCAAUUUUACAAACAAAAAAAACUUUAAAAUUAAAAGAUGAACUUUUUUUUAAACAAGAGUCAAAAUGAAAAACAGAAAAACAUUAAGGGUUAAAGUUGACAUUAAAACGCCUUUUGAGUACUAAUUCUUAAUUAAUAAGCAAUAAAUAAAAUUAAAAUCUACAUUUUCAAAGGUUAAUAUGUUAUUGGUAGACUAUAUCAUUAGUCACUAAAUUAUAGAUAAGUUUUCGUUUUGGUUACUGAACUAUUCAAAAGUUUUCAUUUAAGUCGUUGGACUCUUAAAAUCGGUGCUAUAUGGUUUUCUCUAUUUGCACUGCCUACACCAAUCAAAAGUUCUCUUUCAAUUCUCUUUUGCAGUUUGUUUUUUUCAUAAAACAAUUUUAGACAUCAUGAAUCUGCGAACCAAUUUUCAAAUAGCUUUUUUUCUGAUCUUUGAUACUGACCGUCAGAUCAACUUGGACUUGAAGUAUAUUAUUCUACUCAUAGAUGGGUACUAAUCCAUCAUAUUGAUCAUCAUUUGGAGCUUGUUGGUGGAACUUAAAAAAAAAAAAACCCUAAUAGCUUAGUAACUUGAAUAAAAAAUUUUGAACAGUUCAAUUGUUGACACCAUUUUUUAAAUAAAGCGGAGUCGACUUGGAUUUUAAAAACGAAAAUAGAAACAGGAGUCGCCACCAAUCCUUUUUGAUAAGAUGUGAUCGGAUCACCUUGAAAAGUGGUUGUUUUUAAUAAACGAUUUAAUUUUAUUAAAACAACAAUUUUGGUCCACGAAAUUCAAAAAACGGGUUCGGGAGUCGGUUACGUACGAGGAAGGAUUAGCACCCUCGUAACGCCCAAAAAUUGGUACCUAGUUGAUUAGUUAAUGUCUUAAUGUCAAAAAUUGAAAACUUCGAAGAAUUUUAAAAAUUCGAUCCUAAAAGCUUUUGAACAAUAUGGGUUGGAAUUUAAGAUUCUCUUGUUCCGAAAGUAUAUCACAUCUAGCACAUUAGGAUAUGAUAUUUUAAACUCUCGAAACCAAGAUCACCUUAUGGUUUCCAAAACCCAUACUUUGAAACUUUAAGAGGGUAUUUGGCUAUUUGGCUAAACGACAAAUCGAAACUCAGCACAUUAGGGCACGUUUUCUCGAAUUUCCAAACGCAAAAUAUUGCCUUACUUGGAAAUUUUAAAAGGAUAUUUGGCUAUUUGGUCGAACAAAGAAAUCGAAACCCAGCACAUUAGGGCACGUUUUCUCGAAUUUCCAAACGCAAAAUAUUGCCUUUAUUAUUUUUUAGAAAAUUCCUCAUUGUACAGCCCAAUAUUUGCCCAGCCCAAAACCCAAUAAACCCAGACCUGGAUCCCAAAUUGACCCAACAAAUAUAAGCCCAAAAACUAGCCCAAAGAGCCUAAAUCUAACCCUAACAACAAAACAAAAUUUUCAAACCCUAGGUGCGGCCGCACGUCCCAUCGCCGUGCCUACUCUCUGCUCCACCGCCCGCCCACUUGCCUUGCCUCGUCAAGGUACCUGCAAACAAUAAAAGAAUAGCAGUACCAACAGCAGAAGAGGGAGAGAAACAAACAAAAAAAGAGAGUGGAAAAAUGGCUAUAAAAGGCCAUUCAAAACAAAUUGUAAGGGGUUCGGCCUCUAUUUGAUAAAGAACAGAAAUAAAAAAAGGUUCAACAUUUUGUUCAGUUUUCUUUUUUCUUUUGCUUACUUUUUUUAUUUUUUUUAAAGUUUAUUUUUUUUCUUUUUUAACCCGAAAACAUAAAGAGGAAAACACCUUACCUGUGCCGCGUCGGAGGAGGAGGAGACGAGCGGUUUCUCCUCGUUUUCGGGCCUUGGGCUCAUCUUUCUCGAAGUUCCGCCUUGGAUCCGUGUCCUAAAGGCAUUUAGCUUCAAAAAGGAACCGAAAAGGUCCAGUUUUGCACUUCUGGCCGCCGCCCACGACGUUGCUAUGGCGGAGGUGCGCCGGAGCCUUCGUCGAACCAUGGCCGGAGGAGGGACCGAGAGAGUGAGAGAGAGAGAAAGAGAGCUUUUCUCUCUGUUUUUUAGAAAAAAAUGAGGAAACUGAUUUUUUUUAGUUUUUUUUAUAUAUUUAUACUAAUUAAAAAACGGCAUCGUUUAGCUAUAAGGGUCAGGCGCCAAAACGACGCCGUUUUGGCCCUGACCCGCGCGGUGACCCUACCCUGGGGGGAGGAUCCGUGUGUUUUCGCUAGAGGGGAUAUUUGCGCCAUAGGCCCCUCCUUUGUGGCGUGUUCGAUGCGAUCCUUUUUUUUAUUUUUGAUUUUGGCCACAUAGUUUUUCUUUUGUUUUAAUUUGGUCCCGACCAUGCACACGCGCCUCACUGGAACGACGCCGUUUGAUCGGUGAGGGAAUAUUUCCCUUUUCGGUCCCUUCCCUUUCACGCGUGUUGUGAUUAGGUCCUUUUAGUGUUUUUCUCUUUUAAUUUGACCCUAAACUUUAUUUAUUUUUAAUUUAAUCCCUAAUCUGUUUUUGUAGUUAUUUUUCUACUAAAUUAAUUGUUUAAAUAUUAUUAAUGCUAUCAUUAUUAAUUUUGUAUUAGCAUUUAUUAUUAUUAUUAUUGCUAACAUUGUUAUAUUCCUAUUUAUACUCAUUUAUGUAAAUUUCAAAUAUAUUUAUCUUAGUAUAUUAUUAUAAUUAUUAUUAUUAUUAUUAUUAUUAUUAUUUUAAUUACUUAUAUAUAUACGCAUAUAUAUAUUUAAACUCUAGAUUAUUUCGUUAUUCUAUUAGUAAUAUUAUUAUUAUCCUUAUUUCAUUUAUGUUUUCUUUCAUUUUUAUUUUUAUUAUUUAUUUAUUUAUUUUUUCUUUCUUUUCUAAAAGAUUGUUAUAUAUAUUACAUACACGCACAUAUUUUUGUAACAUAUAUAUGUAUACCUUUAAAGGUUAUUAAAUUUAUCUUUAUAUUUUGUUUUUUUAUAUAUUACAUACGCAAUUAUAUAUAUCUAUAUGUAUAUUUUUUAAUCUUCAUAAGUACGUGUAUAAAUAUGUAUAUGCUUAUACGUUUAUAGUAUGUAAUUUGUAUACAUACCCAUGUACAUACCUUUUAAUUUUCAUAAAUAUAUGCAUGCAUGCUUAUUUACAUUACUUAUUAUGUCUUAUAAUAUAUAUACAUACACAUGUACAUCCAUACAUUUCUUGCAUUUUUAUAAAUUUAUUUGCUUGAUUCAUUUAUUCAUUCAUUUAUUUACUUAUUUAUUUAUCCAAUAUGUUCAUUUUUACUCAGAUUCUUGAAAAGGAAAAUUUUAAAAAUAAAAGUAAUACUCGAUAUUUUGGAUCUUUGAGAGAAUCGAGCCCUAAUGUGUUGGGUUCCGAUUUUCUUCGUUGAAUCUAAAUAAUCGAGAUUACUCUUUUAAAAAUAAUAAAAAGUUCAUUAUCGGGAAUUCGAUACGUUGUGUCCUAACGCAUUGGAUAUGACAUGUAGUUUUCUCGAGACGAGAAUUUUUCUAAAAAAUAAUAAAGGCAAUAUUUAGCUUUUUGGAAAUUCGAGAAAAUGUGCCCUAAUGUGCUGGGUUUCGAUUAUUUUCUCGUUCAACCAAAUAGCUAAAUAUCCUUUUAAAAAUUUCAAAAUAAGACAAUGUUUUGCGUUUGGAAAUUCGAGAAAACGUGUCCUAAUGUGCUGGGUUUCGAUUUUUCUCGUUCAACCAAAUAGCCAAAUAUCCUUCCAAAAAUUUCAAAUAAGGCAAUGUUUUGCGUUUGGAAAUUCAAGGAACGUGCCCUAAUGUGCUGGGUUUCGAUUUCUCAUUUAACCAAAUAGCCAAAUAUCUUCUUGAAUUGCAAUCCAUGUCAUCCGAGUUUUUUUUAAGGAUCGUAUUUUAAAUCUCUCUAAAGUUUUCAGUUUUUCGACACUAAGACAUUAAGUAAUCAACUAGGUACCAAUUUUGGGCGUAUCGAGGGUGCUAAUCCUUCCUCAUGCGUAACCGACUCCCGAACCCGUUUUUUUGAAUUUCGUGGACCAAAAUCGUUGUUUUAAUAAAAUUAAAUCGUUUAUUAAAAACAACCACUUUUCAAGGUGAUCCGAUCACACCUUAUCAAAAAAAGGAUUGGUGGCGACUCUCGUUUUUGUUUUCAUUUUUCAAAACCCAAGUUGACCUCAUUUUCAUCAAAAAAAUGGUGUCAACACUCAUCUCGAGAAAACGUGUCAUAUCCAAUGCAUUAGGACACAACGUAUUGUAUUCCCGAUAAUGAGCUUUUUAUUUAUAUUUUUUGAUUAAAGAGCAUUCUCGAUUAUUUAGAUUCAACGAAGAAAAUUAGAACCCAAUACGUUAGGGCUCAAUCCUCUCGAAGAUCCCAAAUACCGAGUAUUGCCUUUAUUUUCAAAAUUUUCUCUUUUUUCACGAAUUUGGGUAAAAAAAUCAUAUAUGACAGAAUAACAAUUACGAUGAUGUAAGUAAAAAUAAUACGAUUGAUAGCAAUAAAGAUGAAUGAAUAAAAUGACAAAUUAAUAACAUGCAGAAUAAUAAAUAUGUGAACAAAUUAGACUGAAAUAUUCUCUUUUUUUUUUAAAUAAUAAAGACGUGAAUAGAUAAUUAAAAUGAAAAUGAACAAAAUUAUAGGAGUAUAAAAGUAUAAAUAUGCAUAUAGAUAUGUACGUGGAAAUUAUAAAAUCUAAAAACAAAACAACAAAGAUAUACGUAAAUAUACCAAUAAACAUCAAGUAAAAAAAUAUAAAAAUAUGUGUGUAUAUAUAUACAUUGUAAAAUUAUAAAAUAUGACAAAAACAUAUGUAUAUAUAUAAAUUAUAAAAUAUAAGUACAUAUAUAUAUUAUCAAAAUGUAUGUAUGUAUGUAUACAUAGAUAUAUAUAAAAAGAAUAUAUGUAUAUAUAUAGGGGUUAUAAAAUAUACGUAUGUAUGCAUGUAUAUAUAUAUUAUAGAAAUGUAUAUAUACACAUUGUUGAAAUCAUUUUUAAAUUUGAAAAAACGGGGAUCGAAUUUGAAAAUAAAAAGGGAGUCGCCACCGAUCUUUUAUUGUGGUGUGAUCGGAUCACCUUGAAAAUAAUUUUAGGUCUGCGAAUUUUGAGAAAACAGGUUCGGGAGUCGAUUAAGCACGAGGAAGGGUUAGUAUCCUUUUUGUAAUCACUGAAUUUUGUUCGGCUCGAUUUUGAGUUUUUAAAAAAAAUCAAAAAAAUAAAAAUAAAAAGUUCAUUUUGACCCCUAAAAUUUUUGAAAUUAUCUUUUAACCCCUAAAAUUUUUCAAAAUUACAUUUUUACCCCUAAACUUUUUGAAAUUACAUUUUGACCCCUAAACUUUCUUAAAAUUAUGUUUUAACCCCUAAACUUUCUACACAUUAUGUUUUGGCCCCAAAACUUUUCCUACAUUUGCAGUUUAGUCCUUCUAGCAGCAACUUGCACACCUACUCCCGUGAUUUCCGGCCACCGGCCUAGGGCAUGGCCUCCCUCUCCCCUAGCCACCUACCACCUGCAAAAUGAAGCAAAAAUCAUCUAUAAAAGGGGCUUUUAACCCCAAAAUCAACACCCACGAAUCUCCAAAAAAAAGUUUCAAAGAGAAAAAAGCUUCAAAAAUAAGAAAAAAGGGGAGAGAAAGGAAAGGAAAGAGAAAGGUCCGGUGGAGUCGACGGUGGCAGCUCGAACGGCGGCGUGAAAGAAGCGACGGUGUGGGGGCUCGGUUUUGAAGAAGAAGAAGAAGAAAGAAAAAGAAAAAAGAAAAAGAAAAAAAAUAAAAAAUAAUAUAACAGUCGGGUCAACCCAACCCGACCCGACCCACCGACGAUCCGACCCGAACAGCAACCCCAGCACCCCAAGCCCAACAAAAAAAAAGAAAGGAGAAAAGAAAAACAGGCCAGUCCAACAGGCCCAACAGCCUGGCAGCCCAGCAGGCCAGCAGCCCAGCCCCUAGCAGGCCAGCAGGCCUCCAAGCCCAACGCAAGCACCAGCAGGCCAGAAAAAGAAAAGAAAAAAGAAGAGGAAAAAAGAGAAAAAAAAAAAAGAAAAAAGAAAAAGGGGCCCAAGUUGUGCGACCCGUUCGAUUAAGCUCGUAUUUUCGAGCUUUUCGGUAAUUUUCUUUUUUUUUUUUUUUUUAAUUUAAUUUGUACACUUUUAUAAUAUCUCGUAUUUUAUAUUAUGCGUUUAAUAUUUUCUUUAUUUUUAUUUUAAUUUUACAAAACAUUAGUAUAUUUAUUUUAUUUAUUUUAAUUUUAAAUAAUUUAAAUAAAUGAGGCAACGAAUCGAUCUAACAUUAAAUCGUCUGUCGAAACCGUUUUUUUGAAAACAAAAUUUAGUUGUCGACUUUAAAAAUUAAACUGGAGUCGCCACCGAUCCUUUAUUAAGGUGUGAUCGGCUCACCCUAUUUUGGUCUACGAAUUUUGAGAAAAUGAGUCCGGGAGUCAGUUACGCACGAGGAAGGGUUAGCACCCUCGUAAUGCCCAAAAUCGGUACCAAAUUGAUCAUUUAAUGUCUUAGUGUCGAAGUUUAAAAAUAUUUUAAAAUAAACUCGAAUGAUGAAAUUUGAAAAAGGAUAAUCAAUUGUUCAAGUCAUAUAAAGAAAUCGAGUCCCAAUACAUUAGGGUACAAUUCCUCAUAAUCCCCGAACUUUGAAUAUCACUUUUAUUUUAUACGAAAAUCUUCAUUUCGAGAAAGUAACAUGCCACACCCAAUACGUUAGGGCACGGCAAGUUAAGUUCUCAAAAAUUAUUUUUAUACUCAUGCAUUUUGAAUAAAGAAUAUCCUCGGUUAUUUAAGAUUAACAAAAAAAAUCAGAACCCAAUACGUUAGGGCUCAAUUUUCCUUGAAAAUCCCAAACUUCGAAUAUUACUUUUAUUCAAAAAAAAAAACCUUUGAAUCAAGAGAAAAUGAUUUUGAUGUAUGGUUAAAACCAAAAUAUAUUUUCAAAAGGGUAUGUUGAAAAGUUAAUGUACAAUAUGAUACAAAUACUUUAAUUUAAAAUAUAUGUAUAUAUGUAUUUUCAAAAUAUAAGUAUGAGACAUAAAUAAAUUUUGAAAACGUAUAUAAGCAUAUAUUAAAACAGGUAUAUAUAAGUAUACAUAUAUAAAAUAAAGAAAAUAAAUGAAAUAUAUAAAACAAAACAAAAACCUAUUAUAAUUCCUAAGAAAAUAUGCAUGUAUAUAUAUGUAUGCGAGAUUUAUGAAAAUAGGAUAAAAAUAUAAAAAUAUGUACAUGUGAAAAUCAACAAAAUAAAAAUACAAAUUUAUGUAUAUAUAUAAAAUAAAAAUUGGGUAAGUAUGUAUAAAAUAUAAGGCAUGUGAAAGUUAAAAUAAAAAAAAAACUAUAUAAAAAAAUGUGCGAGAGAAAUAUAUGUAUGUAUGUAAAAAAAAACUCAAAUUAUAUAUAUAUAUUAAAUAUGCAUAUGUGUAAAAUACGUGAAUGUGAAUGUAUAGAAAAUAUAUAAUGAUAACUAUAAUGCAUAAUAUAACAAUAAUGUUUUUUUUAAGAAAAAAAAUUAAAUAAAAUAAUAGUUUUUCCUUAAAAAAUUGGAUUAAAUUGAGCUUAAAGACAAAAAAGUGGGGCAGAUUUGAAAUAAAUUGGAAGGUAGGACCAACUUAAAUGCGAGCAGAAUAAUGGGGGAUCAAAAGGGAAAUUAUUCCCGUCUUCCCAAAAGCUGCGCAGCGAUGGGCACAUAUGGAACAAAAAUAAAACAUGCGGGAAAACUUAAAAGAAAUUAGAAAUUUAAUUUAAACGCACUGCUAGAAUAGGGGGACCGAAUGCGCAAAUAGACCAUUUAAGGUCUGACGCGCGGACCCCCCUUUCCCCCAAACGGCACCAUUUCAUCUUUGCUUUUAAAAUUUAAAAGAAACAAAAUUAAAACUAAAAGAAAGUUUCCAAUUAUUUCUUUUUCUGUAAGAACUUUUUAGGGUUUUUUGAACCCAUUUUUUUUUUUGCACUGCCACCACUAGGUCGUCCCUUAGCCUCCGACGGCGCCUCGGCCUCCGAUUGCGACGGAGAGGGGACACCACGACGGCACCAGGUAAGAUCCUUUCUCCUUCUUUCCCUUUUUAUUAUAAAUAAACAAAUAAAAUAGAAAGAAUAGAAAAAAAUAAAAAAAAAAUCCCGAUUCACCUUCGAAAAAAAGAAAAUCUUUGUAAUCUCAGUUCUUCCCUCUAUUUUCGUAUCUCUUUUACACUGAAUCAUCCCCCUUUUUACAGAAGAAAUAUGGCGUUAUAUAGCCUAAAAUGGAAAAGAAAAAUAAUAAAAAAAAUCAAAAUAAAAUCUAUUCUGUUAUUGCUGCGCUUGUAUGCCUCUUUUUCGCAGGUUUGGUGGCGAAAAGGGCGUAUGUACGUGAAGGCACAAAUCGCGCGGAGGCUGGCUCUGAAUCUUGCGGCGGCUGGAGAGGGGAUUGCGGCGCUAGGAGUUGUGUACUGAUACUAGGGUUUCUUUGGGCUAGGGUUAAUUUGGGUUUUGAGAUGUUAAGUGGGUCUGUUUAUUGGUUUGGGCCCGGGCAUUAUUGGGCUUGAGCCCGGGCAUUAUUGGGCUUGUACAUCGUCGAUUUCAUCGCUAUGUUGGGUGAAUGUUACCGGUUUAUGUUAAAUACGAUACGCCCUUUUAAAAAUUGUAAAUAUUCAAAAAAAUUGUAUUUUCAAAAAAAAAUCCUCGGGUUUUGAAAUUUCGUGUCUUCAAAAAAAUUUCUCGUGUUUUCAAAAAUAAGGUAAUGAGUCGAUUGUCACUAAUUCGUUGAUUUCAUUGCUAUGUUGAGUGAAUAUCACCGAUUAGUGUUAAAUACGAUACAUGCUUAAUAUAAAAUCAGAAAAUUUUUCGUGUUUUCAAAAUUCCCGUGUUUCAAAAAGUUUCAUGUUUUCAAAAAUUAUCGUGUUUUAAUCGGAUCACGAUUAAAUAUUAAAUUGAACUCGUAUUUUUGAAAAUUAAGACAACAUGCGUUUAAAGAGAUACCAAUUUUGGGCGUCGCGAGGGUGCUAAUACCUUCCUCGCGUGUAACCGACUCCCGAACCCUAAUUUUCUCUGGAUUUUUACGUGGACCUAAAAUUACCUCUUUUUUAGAAAAGUUUAAAAAUAAAUUUUUCUUCUAAAAAAAGAAUUUUGUAGGUGUCCGAUCACACCUAGAAAAAAGAUCGGUGGCGACUCCUUUUUCAAAUAAAAUCGAGAUUCGGUUUUCAAAUUUACAAAAUUACAUCGACUAGCGCCCGUGCUAAAAAUUUUAGGUCGCUACACUUUUAUCUUGAAUAAAAUGAAUUGGAUGAUAAGGUUCACUUAUUUCAAAGAAAUAAAUUGUUACACUCAGUAAGUUAGAGUACAACAUUUCAAAUCCUCAAAAUUAAGUUUCUCCUUUGAUUUUUAUGCAUUUUGAGAAGGAUAUCUGAUUAUUUGGGUCAAAUGAGAAAAUCAAAACCCAGUAAGUUUGGGUUCGAUUUUACAAAUUCCUAAAUAUCGAAUAUUGCUUUUAUUUCCAUUUAUUAGAAAGAUCCUUGUCUCGAGAAAACAACAUGUCUUAUCCAAUGCGUUAGGAUACAACGUGUCGAAUUCCCGAGAAUGAGUUUUUUAUUUAUAUUUUUGAUUAAAGCAUAUCCUCGAGUAUUUAGAUUCAACGAGGAAAAAUUGGAACUCAAUACGUUAGGGCUCAAUCUUUUCGAAGAUCCCAAAUGCCGAGUAUUUUGAAGAUUUUUGAAUAAAUUGGUUUUGAUACUUAAAUGAUAUGAAACAUAACCUUUUAAGCGAAUAAAAUGCAAUAGAAUAAUAAUGUACAAUGCGAAUUGAUUAUUCGUAAAUUUAAAUAUACACCCAUGAAUACAAACAAUCAAUAGGUAAAUACAAACAAACAUAGUAACAAUAACCUCAAUUAUGCCAAUAUCAACAUCAGCAUUCAAAAUGAAUACUAUAAAAAAGAUAAAUCAAAAUGCAUUAAAUCAUAUACAUAUAUUAAUUUAAAAAAAAUAGUACAUGUGGAAGGAAAAUUUUAAUAAUAAUAUAAAUAAUAAUAUAUACAUAAUAAUAUACAAAAGUUGAAAUAAGCAAAAUAUAUUAAAGUAGGUUUUUUGUUUUUUUGUUUUCAAAAAUGUAUGUAUAAAUAAAUAAAAAGAUAUAAUAUAAAAUCAAUAAUAUGUUAUAUAUACACCUAAAAUAAUAUUAUAUAAUAAUGUAUAUACAUAAAAAAAUAUGUAGAUAAAUAUAUAAACUAAUAUAAAUAAUAAUACUAAUAAUAAUGAUGAUAACCAGGAUAAUAAAAAUAAUUUAAUAAUAAUAAGGCAAAAAGGGGACUAAAUUGAAACUAAAACCAAAUUUAAAGGAUGAAAAAUGCAAUUCGAAAUGUCCAAAGGUUGCGUUGAAACGCGCGCGUAAUAUUAGGGAUCAAAAAGGGAAAUAAUCCCUUGCCCAAAACGCAGCGCUUUAAUGCGGAUUAAAAUGAAACAAAAAUAAACUGAGAGAUUAAAUCUAAAAAGAAAUAAAGGGAUUGGAUUGAAGUGCGCUUGAAAAGUGGAGGGGCUGUGCGAGCAAAUAGACCGUCAAACAAAAUACGCGAAUCCUUCCCUCGGAUCGGGUCACCGCGCGGAUGCUAGCAUCAUACGACGCCGUUUUGAGACCAUCAAAUUGGCAUAAAACGACGUCGUUUAUUACUACACUUAUAGACCAAAAAUAACCCUAAAAUUAGCAGCCAUUUCAUUUUAACAAAACAAAAUAGAAAAACCUAAACUAAAACACUCUUCUCUGUGCCGCUCCGCCGUUUGCAGCCCAGAGACGACCCCCUUUCGAACUCCGAUUUCAACAGAGCAGAACGGGGGUUAACGGCACCAUCAAGGUAACCUUCUCCUUCUUAUUUGCUUUAUAUAUACGCUUAUAUGUGAUUAAUAACGAAACAGAAAAAAAAGAAAAGCAAUCGAAAAAAAAGAAUGGAAAAAAGAAAACCUUUUUCUUUGUAUUGAUUUUGUUUUUUGAUACAAUCUCUGUGUAUUCUCUCUGUGUAUGAGGAUAACCCCCUUUUACAAUGCAUAUUUGGCUUUUUAUAUAGCCAGAAAAAUGAAAAGAAAAGAAAAACCAGAAAAUUCCAAAAGAAAAAAAUGUUUUUCCCUCUUUGUUGUUGCUACUGUUUUCUGUUUGUCUUCUCUUGCAGGUACGGCGUACGGAGACCGACGUGGCGGUACGGAGGUAGCCGUACGAAGGCGCGCUUGGCUGGGGGAAAACGGCGCUGGAGGUUGCUGUUGCGGCGCUUGUGUUAGGGCUGAAUGCCUAGGGUUUCCUUUAGUUGUUAGGCCACAUAGCAAUUGGGCUGGGUGUAUAAGCUUGGGCUAGGUUAAUUGAUUUGGGCCACAUUGGGCCCAUGUAUUUGGAUUGUGGACUGUUAUUAAUUUUUGUUUGGUUUAUAUUUUUUUAUUUUGAUUUGAUUUUUAUAUUACGGGCCGGCCAAAUUGGGCCUACUACACACAUAUAUAACAAAGUUUGGAAUUAAAAAAAUAAAAUAAAAUAAAAAGGACAUAAAUAAACAAACAACAAUAUUAAUAUAAUAAGACAAAUAUCUUUAUGCACACCAUCAUCCCACACUAUUGGACUCCUCGCUUUAUGCACACCAUCAUCCCACACUAAAGAACCAGAAACCAUAGAUGCAUCCAUUGUUCCUUCAAUUAUUACUUGAAAAGACAGCUUUUGUCCCACAGAUGUAAACGACAAAACAUUAGGGUUAACUCAGACUCUAGCUGUUCUUGUCGGAAAACUCACUCUUGCUCUAUACGUCGCCAUCGGAGAUCCCACAUUCGUAACAGUUCUAUUGAAAACACGACGAACAGUUGUUGAAGAAGAAGUGAAAACAGCAAAUGAAGGAUAGUUUAGAUCCGAAAGUACUGUUCCAUUUGUUGCUGCAGAACAUGUUGCAUUAUCCCUAGUAACUUGUCGAAGAAACCGAGUGUCAUAUCCUUGUCCGCAUAAAAAAUUUAUGUAAUCAACUUCAUUGGAAUUGUAGAUUAAGCCUGGAUUUAUAGCUUUGAUUGGGUUCAAAUGGCCUGAUCCGUAUGCAAACUCAGCGUCCGAGUUCAUGCCUGAACUCAUAGGGGAAGCUGUAGUGAUAAGGGAAGAUUUGAUAGCAGAAGGAGACCAAGUGGGAUGAAAAGAUUUAAUGUACGCAGCUGCGGCAGAAACAUGGGGACAAGCCAUUGAUGUGCCUGUGAUUAUGUUAAAUGGAACCCAUCUAUUAUCGCCUCUAUUUUGGGAAACUGGUGAAGCUAAAGACCAUGCAGCUACAAUAUCAACCCCUGGUGCUGACAAAUCUGGCUGUAAUUAUUACCCACAAAAAUUUAGAAAACUUGGGAUUAGGUUACGCCUAAGUUUACUAUUACCAUAUUUUAUAAGCUCUCCCCGAGCUUAAAAUUUUGUUUAAAUUAACUCAUAUUUAUAAAUAAUUAAUUUAAAUCUAUUUUAGAUUUGCCUAUAUUAUUUAAAAAAAAUAAAAUAUAUAUUUAUAUUAUUUUUAAUUUAAUAUUUAAUAAUUUUAUAUAUUUUUUAUUUAUUAAAAUUUUAUAUAUAAUUACCUAACAUUUUUUAAUUUUUAGAUUAUAAUAGUAUUAUAUAGUACUAUAGAUUUAAUUUUUAUAAAUGGUAUAAUAUAUAAAAAUAACAUAAUAUAAAAUAUUAGAAACAUAAAAAUUAAGUUGGACUUGGGUUUUAAAUGUUCAAUCAUAGAGAUUGUACAACCCAAAUUUUUACCCGGCCCAAUACUCAAAUUAAAACCAAGCCCAUUACAAAACAACCCAAACCCGGAGCCCAACUAGCCUAACUCGAGGCCCAAACCUGACCGGCCCAAUAGCUAAGGCCCAACUCCCCCCCAAAAAAAUCUGCCUAGGGUUUCAGAGACUGAAACCCUAGGCGCCGCCUCUAGGGUCUUUGACCCCUGGCCUUCUGACACCGCCACUGUCCCAUCGACGCCGCCCGCAGCCAAGUCGACCCUCCACUUGCGCCGUCACCUGCAAAGAAGAAACAAAACAAAGAAACAGAGAGCAGAGAACGCAAGCAAUAGUGGAAAUCGGCUAUAAAAAGCCAACAAAAUGUAAUUUUUUGUUUUUCGGGCAAUCUUUGUAACAAAAAAAAUAGAUAGUAGCAAAAUAAAUAAAAAAAACAUUCAAGGUGAUUUAGACUUCUGGAUUCCUCUGUUUUCUUUCACUUUAAGUUUUUAUUUUAUAUUUUUUUUCUUUUUCAUUUGGAUUUGUUUCUCUAAAAAAGGUCAAGAAAAGGGUGAAAGGCGAUACCUUUCACUUGCGGCACGCCACCGUCGGUGAUCCCUUCUGCGCCGGAGCCGUAGAAAUCCUCUGGGGUUUUGUUUAGGCCGCGCCAGAGGAGAGACGGGCAAAAAGGAGCAACCCCUCCCCUUUUCUUUUCAUUUUCCGGCAACGCGAAGCCGCGAUGAGGCCACGGCGAGGCCUUUGCGCGAGCUCACCGAUGGUGUGGCCGGAUUCAAAGGGGAGAGGAAGCGUUUUUAACAGAGAGGGGAAGAGAGUGAUUUGAGUUUUUUUUUAUUUUAGCUGUAAAAAAUGUAUUUUUUGUAAAAAUUUUCUGUUUAAAUAACCCCCCACGAAAUGGCGCCGUUUUAGGCUUCCCUGACCCGCGCGGUGACCCAACCCAGGGGAGGAUCUGCGCGUUUUCUAUAAAUAGGGUAUUUGCGCAAUAAGUCCCUCCGAGUUUGUGACACUUUCGAGGCAGUUCUCUGUAUUUUUGCAAUUCAGCCCCGCAGUUUGUUUCUGUUUCAUUUUAGUCCCCAGAAACGCCACGUUUUGAGAUUUUGGUUUAUUUUCAGUUUUGGUCCCCCCUCUUUCAGCGUGCGUCGCGAUUUAGUCCCUUUUACCUUUUCUUAUUUCGAUUUCGCCCAAUACUCUCGUUUUUAUUUCGAUUUAGUCCAUAUUUUAGUAAUUCUAUUAUUUAGUUAUUAUUAUUAUUAUUAUAUUUAUUAAUAUUAUUGUUAUUUUUAUGUUUUUAUAUUUACUUAUGUAAAUUUUAGAUAUGUGUUCUAUUAUACUAUUAUUAUAUAAAUUUUUUUAUACAUAUAUGUAUAUAUAUAUUUCUAACUUAUUUAAUAUAUAUAAAUACUCAAUUUUAUAUACGUAUCUAUAUAUAUAUUUUUAUAUAUUAAAAUAUGUAUAUCAUAUAUUAUUUUAUGUUAUUUUUAUAAUCCACAUAUGUAUCUCUUUACAUUUAAUUGUAUUUACUACUUAUUUAUUUCAUUUUCUUUAUUUUUUUUGAAUAAAUGUUUUAAUUUAUUUGUUUAUAUAUUGUUACUUUAUAUGAUUGUAAGUAUGACUUUUAUUUAUUUUAUAUUGUUACUAUUGCUCGUAUCAUUUUUAUACUUUUGCGUACAUUAUGAUUUUAUCAUGCAUAACAACAAUGUAAUUGGCUUUCGUAUUUUUUUUACUACGAUUUUCGUAUUUCAUUUUAUUUGAUAUAACAAAGUUGUUUUGAAUAAAUAAUAUUUUGUGUUUAGAUUCGAGAAAAUCGUACCCUAACUUACUGGGUUUCAAUUUUCACGAUAAACCAAAAUGCACGAAUCUUUUUAAACUCGAAUUCUAAAUAAUCUCGGGUUUUAAAAACAAAAUCGCGUCCUAACUUACUGGUCGUGAUCUCAUUUUUAAAUUUGAGAUAGGUAAAAUAUCUUUUAAACAAGCAUUUUUAUGUAUUGGGAAUUCGAGAUAUUGUGUCCUAACUUACUGGAUAUGAUUCUCUUUCUCGAAUAACGUGAAAUAUGCCCAUUCUUUGAAAAUUUUCAACGUUUUAAUACAAGGAUCAUAUUUUUAAAUUUCUUUAAAGUUUUCGGUUUUUCGACACUAAGACAUUAAGUAAUCAACUAGGUGUCAAUUUUGGGCGUAUCGAGGGUACUAAUCCUUCCUCGUGCGUAACCGACUCCCGAACCCGUUUUUCUGAAUUUCGUGGACUAAACUCGUUGUUUUAAUAAAAUUAAACUUUUUAUUAAAAACAACCACUUUUACAAGGUGACCCAAUCACACCUCAUCAAAAAGGAUUGGUGGCGACUCCCGUUUUUUUCGUUUUAGUCGAAACCCAAGUCGACCCCGUUUUUUCAUCCAAAAAAUGGUGUCAACAGCUUGGCGACUCCGCUGGGAACUUUAAAUAAAAGAGUCAAGCCACGAGUUGUUUAUUUCUUAUCUUUUUGUCGAAAGUUGAAAAUCUGAUUUAAAUUUAUGAUCUUCUCAUUGCAUUUCAUUUGUUUUGAGUUAUGGUUUUCAUCAUGUUUUGUAUUCUAAAUUUUUAUAUCUCUGCACAUUGCAUUGCAUGACCUUUGGUUACACCUUUUAAGUGGGAGUGAGAAACUACGCUUUCGUGAGGUUUUCACCUCCACAUGGGAUAGUGAAUCGCUUCCGGGAUACAUCUGUACCUAUGUCUUCGUGAGAUUUUCAUCUCCGCAUGGCCAUAGGAAAAUGUAUUCCCCUGAACCGAACUCAGUUUGUAUGAGCCUAUAAUGGGUGAAGAUCGAGGAAUCUGCUGGUUCGGGUACCUUAUCUCUAGAGCCAAACCGCAUAUAGAAGACCUUAGGAACCCAUCCUAGGUAGGAGUCACUCCAAGCCCCUAGUAGUCACCCGACUAGGUACUUUUGUUUUCCUUGCUUACUUAUGUUUUGAACUAACCCCUCUUGUUGUGUUUUGAUUGCAUUGCAUUUGCAUAUUAGGAAAGAGAUAUUGAUUCAAGUCCGAUUACUAAAUUAGAAGGCUUGUCAUGGAAUACGAAUUCUUUGAUAAAGUGGAAAAUAAUACGGCUGCCUGAAUAUAUUCUGAGAAAUACAAGAAUGGCGAUGGAAGAGUUCGUGACCCUGCUUCAUGGCCUGAGGAUUCAAGGCGAUUGUCUAAGAGCCUUCGACGUCCCAACUCCUUUAAAGAAGCUGAUGACCUUAUGGACAGAUGAUGGAUCGCGACCAAGAUCAAGAAAAUGAGCUAGUAAUGGCAUACAUUGGAAAUUGGCGAGAUUAUCUUAAACAUGAGCAUGAAGAAGAAGAUAGAUGUCAUUUCUUGGAAUAUGAGGGUGAGGCCGUACAUGUAUCCCUUUUAUGUAAAGGAAUUUACUUUCUAGAAAAGUUUCCUAAAUGUAAUUGAAUCAGAAUCAACGUCUCUUUAGACAUGCAUUUUAUACAUUGCAUUACAUGCAUUAAAAUCUAUUGAAAGAGUCUAAACGAGUAAAAUUAUUUCAGCUAACCUGAAAAACCGACCAACCAAACAUCCUUACGAUAUCCAAGCAAAGAUUAGAGAAAUGGAACGAAGGUUGGAAAAUUUAGAGCGAAUGCAGAUUCAGAUGCAGGAGCAAUUGACUGAAUUUCAACAGGAGAUGAGAGAUCAGAUGCUAGAAUUACGGAGAACCAUGAUAAACCAGUUCGACCGACUACUAGCUGGAGAGUUAGAAAAGAGGAGAGACCCGGUGGUCCACUUUGGGGUUGAUAAUGAGGACCUUGCCUAUUCCCUAGAUUGUACUCCGACAAGUGUUCAGGUCCAGCCAGAUGGGCGCCCACAAGGGACAUUCUUUACUAUUAGAUUACAACAGUAUCAAACUGGUACAACAACACCAGUGAGUUGUUUGACAGACCCAAUGUCUAAUUUGAGGAACAAUUUUCCUGACAACCCAGCAAAAAUAAAACAAGCAAGGAUAAAAUACCCAGAUACUACAAAGGCCCUAGGGAAGAGGGGAAUAAAGGGGAUAAUGCAAACAGAUAUAACAAGGGACACUCAAAACCAAUCACUGUGGGCUGGCCAAAGACAGAAACCCCCAGACAUCAGAGUUCUUUAAAGAAAGAAUCGGGAGUGAAACCAGGCACUGAGAAGCUCCAGUUCACAACAAUUCCGAUGUCAUAUAAGGAGCUGUAUCAAAGCUUGUUUGAUGCACAUGUUGUUGCUCCUCAUUACUUAAAACCCAAGCAACCCCCGUAUCCCAAAUGGUAUGACAUGAACGCACAAUGUGACUACCAUGCGGGAAUUACAGGGCAUUCAAUAGAGAAUUGUAUUGCCUUCAAGAAGCUAGUUGAAAAAUUCAUCAACAUGGGUAUUGUCAAGUUGGGUGAUUCAUCUAGUGCAAAAAACCAUCUACCCAAUCAUGUUGACAACGGGAUGAAUGAGAUGUAUGAAGCAAUGUUGGCAAGUGUUCACACUAAUGGCAUAUAUGAGGACACAAUUGGGAAGGGACCUUGUUAAAUGUUCGCCCUUAUGAAUUUUGGAGUGUUCUAAACAAUUAGACUGUGAAAGAAAUUCCUAUAAUUUUUAGAGCUUUUCUAGAGUAAUGUUCAGAACAUUUUUGUUGUUUUAAGCCUAGAGGCAAUAAGAACUCUUUUGUGAAAUAGGCUAAUGUCUGAACAUCAUUAUUUUAAUGGAAUGUAUCUUUGCGAUCUUUUUGAACCAAUAUUCUUUCAUUUCUUAUCAAUGAUUGUUUUUAUUCUUUUAUUCUUUCUUCCAAAUCAUUAUUGCAUUCAUAGUCAUAUUGUACAUAACUUCAUAUAUUAUUUGUAUAUUCUUUUGUACUUACAGUAGGUCCCUGAAUAUCAACGACAUGAAUGACACUACUACAGACUCGGAUUCUCCUUUUGAGCGAGACAUGUGUUUAGAGGGAUCUCAUGACUUUGAAGAUGACAUAGAUUGUAGCCUGUCUCGAGACUUAUUGAGGAUGAUAGAACAAGAUGAAAAAUAGAUCCUACCUUACAAAAGUCAGUGGACAGUAAGCUUAGGAGAGGAGAAAGAGGUAAAGAUUCGAGUUUGCAUCAUCGCAGAGAUAAAGCGAGACAUUAUUGAGUUACUCUAAGAAUUCAAAAAUGACUUCGCAUGAUCAAGAUUCGCCUCAGCUACUUAGACGUGUGAACGCUAUUGAAGCAAAGUCUAUAAGGGUGUUUGAGGAAUACAUGCUAAUAGUUUUGCAAUGGCCAAGCAAAUCAUAAGAUUCGGGUACUACUGGUCCACCAUAGAAGAGGGCUGCAUUAGUUAUACCUAGUGCCAUUUAUAGGGUCAAGAUUUAUGUGCUUCUCUCAUCUCUUCAUGUUAUGACCUUCUCAUAGAUUUUCUCUAUGUGGGGUAUGGAGGUGAUGGGCCCAUCUCGUCAAAGCUUUUAGCCAAUAUCAAUUCAUCUUUGUGGUCUUCGAUUACUUCACUAAGAGGGUGGAAAUAGCUUCAUAUACGAAUGUCACAAGGUCGAAGUCAUUAAAUUCCUUUCAAAAAAAAUUAGGAGUCGAUAAAAAAAAGGACAAUGUUAGAAGUUUUUAGUCUGUUCAAAUAUUAGAUGCUGUAGGUAACCAAAAAAAAAAGAUCGUGAGAAAGACGACCGAGACUUGUAAAGAUUGGUAUAAGGAAGUUACCAUUCACCCUCUAUGCUCAUCAAACGACGACUAGGACCUUUACCGGGGUAACACCUGGCCCAUUGGUUUAUGGAAUGUUAAAAGCUUCUUGUCAUGGUCAAAUGAUAUGAGCUUAAGACAAAGAGAUUAAUCCUAGAAAAUGUGGAUGCCAAAUUAGGAAAGACCUUAUGUUGUAAAAAAAAAGCCUGUUCUGGAAGAGCACUGAUAUUAACCGAGAUGGAUGCCAAAGACUUGCCCAAUCUAGUGAAUUCAAAUUCAGUCAAGAAGUAUUUUACCUGCAAAUGAAGAAACCAAGGUGAAAAUCCACAAAGGGUAUCUUGGGUAAAAACAAACUCUACCGGGGCAAUGUCAUUCUCUUGUGCCUAUCACGGUUUUGCCUAUUGAAGACGAGAUUCUUUCUGAGUUUUUGGAUCCAAUCUCAAUCAAUGAGGAAUGUUCAAAGUUAUCUAUCAUGGUCAAAUGCGCCAAAAGUAAACGAUGCGAGCUCAAAAAAAAAUUUGCCCUAGAGAAUUUCAUGAGAAGGACAUGGUACUGAAGAAGAUCCUUCCCAUACAAAAAGAACCUCAUGACAAGCUGGGAAAAACCUAGUGGGGAAGGCCUUAUCUGGAAAAGUGUCAAUCUUGAUCGGAAGGGAUAACAAGGACGAUCCUAAUCCUAUGGGUUUAGAUUCAAUAAAAAAUACAAAAAAAAGAGAAAGAAAGAAAAAAAGAAGAAAGAGAAGAAGAAGAAGAAGAAGAAUAGAAAAGAAAAGGAAAAAAGGAGAGGCCAAGGUGAAAACCCACAAAGGGCGCCUUGAGACCAAAGGGGAUUUGAGUUGAAAACCCAAAAAGGGCGGCUAAAAUUUUGAAACAAAAUGGGGUACGAAGUGAUCAGAGCGGCUUAAAUUUUAGAUCAAAUUGGGGCAUGGUGGUGAUCAGAGUAGCUCAAAUUUUGAUCAGAUCGGGGCAUAUGAUGAUCUUGCCAUACUAAAACAACAAGAAAAGGUAGGCGACAUCUUGGAGCAUCGACAAAGUCCUGAAGAUCUCCUAAACACAUGUCAAACGCAGAAUGGUCUUUCAAAAAGUUUGUACAGAGAAGUUCAGGUUGCGAUAUCUAGGGCAUCUAGCCCUCAUACUAUUUAUAUUGAAUUUGUUAUUCUUGAAAUACUUCUUUCUUUUCCAAGAUACAUGUUCAAAUCAAUUUCUCUUUUUAUUCUUGCUAUCCUUGAUAAUUUAUUCAUUUCGAGCUAUGCUCUCAAAUCAAUUCUAUUUUAUCUAUCGUUAUGAUCUUUUGCAAGCAUGUUGCAUUAGAAUAAUGAUUAAUGGACUAAUAAUACUUUCACAAUGGAAGUUUUGCAUAUUACUCUAAAAGUUUCUAAAUAAUAUAGGAACCUGAAACCGGACUAUUGUUUAGAAAACACCAAGUUUAAAGGGUGAAAUAUCUAAGAAGGAAGGAUCUAAGUUAAAGACUAUCCUUUCAGAUUUUGUUGUCCAAACAUUAAUUGAACAAAAUGACAAGAUGCCGUGUUGGUGACAAAGCUUCAAUGAACAAACAAGUAAUGAUCACCGAGUGAUAAGAAAAGGUUUUCUCAAAGAAGAAAAUUUUGCAAUUGUGCAUGAGCAUUUGGUAUGACACCUUGGGAAUGGGGUAAAAGAACCAAAAAGCUUCACAUUCUAUAUCAUUAAAUUAUGAUAACAGAUGAUCGAGAAAAAGGCCAGGUCUUUCUAUCCUAGGGUUACAAAGGGAGAAAGAUGAUUCAAAUUUUGUAUCCAGUGGAUUGAACCUUGAAGAUUACAGUAGGGGAAAUCCGACCAAGUGAGAGAUGAGCAUUACCAAUAAGACAAAAUAGCAUUCGGACAUGUUGGCAAUAAAGCCUUAUUGAGCAAGGGGCAUUAACAACUCAAACAUUGAAAGAUCAUUUUCAAUUUGCAUUCAUGCAUACACAUUUAGUUAGGAUAUUUUGAUUCAUUUUGAUCAUAAUCACUAGGCAUAAAUAGGUUCAUAUAGGUCAUGUUCCCAAGAGAACAGACCAAUGAAGUUACAGAUCUUGCUUUCCUGCACUGAUAGCGAAGCAAAUCGAAGAAACCAUAGUUUGCAAUUCAAAGAUUGAAUCCACAACGGUGAAUCUUACUUCCCAGGCGAUGCAGCGGAGUAUUUUGAAGCUACAACGGUGAAUCUCACUUCCCUGACAUUGCAAUUCAAAGAUUGAAGCCACAACGAUAAAUCUUACUCCCAGGCGAUGCAGGGGAGCAGAUUGAAGCUAUAAUAGUGAAUCUCACUUCCCCGACAUUGCAAUUUAAAAGAUUGAAGCUACAACAGCGGAUCUUACUUUCCUAGCAUUGCAGUGGAACAGAUUGAAGCUACAGCAGCGGAUCUUGCUUCCCGGGCAAUUAAAAAGAUUGAAGCUACAACAGCGGAUCUUACUUUCCUAGUGUUGCAGUGGAACAGAUUGAAGCUACAACAGCGGAUCUUGCUUCCCUGGCAGUUAAAAAGAUUGAAACUACAACAGCGGAUCUUACUUUCCUAGCAUUGCAGUGGAACAGAUUGAAGUUACAGCAGCGGAUCUUACUUCCCUAGCAAUUAAAAAAUAUUGAAGCUACAACAACGGAUCUUAUUUUCCUAGUGUUACAGUGAAACGGAUUGAAGUUACAACAGCGGAUCUUGCUUCCCUUGCAAUUAAAAAUAUUGAAGCUACAACAGCGGAUCUUACUUUCCUUGCGUUGUAGUGAAACAGAUUGAAGCUACAGCAGUAGAUCUUGCUUCCCCGGUAAUUAAAAAUAUUGAAGCUACAACAGCGGAUCUUACUUUCCUAGUGUUGCAGUGGAACAGAUUGAAGCUACAACAGCGGAUCUUGCUUCCCCGGCAGUUAAAAAGAUUGAAGCUACAACAGCGGAUCUUAUUUUCCUAGCGUUGCAGUGAAACGGAUUGAAGCUACAGCAACAGAUCUUGCUUCCCUUGCAAUUAAAAAGAUUGAAGCUACAACAGCGGAUCUUACUUUCCUAGCGUUACAGUGAAAUAGAUUGAAGCUACAGCAGCGGAUCUUACUUUCCUAGCAUUGCAGUGGAACAGAUUGAAGCUACAGCAGCAGAUCUUGCUUCCCCGACAGUUAAAAAGAUUGAAGCUACAACAACGGAUCUUACUUUCCUAGUGUUGCAGUGGAACAAAUUGAAGCUACAACAGCGGAUCUUGCUUCCCUGGCAGUUAAAAAGAUUGAAGCUACAACAGCGAAUCUUACUUUCCUAGCAUUGCAGUAGAACAGAUUGAAGCUACAGCAGCGGAUCUUGCUUCCCUAGUAGUUAAAAAGAUUGAAGCUACAACAGCGGAUCUUACUUUCCUAGUGUUGCAGUGGAACAGAUUGAAGCUACAACAGCGAUUGAAGCUACAACAGCGAUUGAAGCUACAACAGCGGAUUUUGCUUCCCCGGCAGUUAAAAAGAUUGAAGCUACAGCAGCGGAUCUUACUUUCCUAGCGUUGCAGUGAAACAGAUUGAAGCUACAGCAACGGAUCUUUCUUCCCUUGCAAUUAAAAAGAUUGAAGCUACAACAGCGGAUCUUACUUUCCUAGCGUUGCAGUGAAACAGAUUGAAGCUACAGCAGCGGAUCUUACUUUCCUAGCAUUACAGUGGAACAGAUUGAAGGUACACAGCAGAUCUUGCUUCCCCGACAGUUAAAAAGAUUGAAGCUACAACAACGGAUCUUACUUUCCUAGCAUUGCAGUGGAACAGAUUGAAGCUACACAGCAGAUCUUGCUUCCCCGACAGUUAAAAAGAUUGAAGCUACAACAACGGAUCUUACUUUUCUAGUGUUGCAGUGAAACAGAUUGAAGCUACAACAGCGGAUCUUGCUUCCCUGGCAGUUAAAAAGAUUGAAGCUACAACAGCGAAUCUUACUUUCCUAGCAUUGCAGUAGAACAGAUUGAAGCUACAGCAGCGGAUCUUGCUUCCCCGGUAGUUAAAAAUAUUGAAGCUACAACAACGGAUCUUACUUUCCUAGUGUUGCAGUAGAACAGAUUGAAGCUACAACAGCGAUUGAAGCUACAACAGCGGAUCUUGCUUCCCCGGCAGUUAAAAAGAUUGAAGCUACAAUAGCGGAUCUUACUUUCCUAGCGUUGCAGUGAAACAGAUUGAAGCUACAGCAACGGAUCUUGCUUCCCUGGCAGUUAAAAAGAUUGAAGCUGCUACAGCGGAUCUUACUUUCCUAGCAUUGCAGUGGAAUAGAAUAAAACCAUGAAUCCCCUCUUGAAGUUGCUGCGAAGAAGAUUAAAGCUACUAAUUAGAGCUUUUUAAAGUGUAGUGGAGUGGAUCGACGUGACAAGACACAGUGGAUUGAAAUAAAGCUACUUGAAGAGAAGCACCAAAACAAAUCAAGAAUUGGCAAGACCGGGUAAAAAUUGGUCUUUCUUAGUCUUUGCUCUGUUAUCGUUACACGACAACAAGCAAAGAGGGGCAACUGUACAGCCCAAAUUUUUACCCUGCCCAAUACUCAAAUUAAAACCAAGCCCAUUACAAAUCAACCCAAACCCGGAGUCCAACUAGCCUAACCCGAGGCCCAAACCUGACCGGCCCAAUAGCUAAGGCCCAACUCCCCCCCAAAAAAAUCUGCCUAGGGUUUCAGAGACUGAAACCCUAGGCGCCGCCUCUAGGGUCUUUGACCCUUGGCCUUCUGACACCGCCACCGUCCCAUUGGCGCCGCCCGCAGUCAAGUUGACCCUCCACUUGUGCUGUCACCUGCAAAGAAGAAACAAAACAAAGAAAUAGAGAGCAAAGAACGCAAGCAAUAGUGGAAAUCGGCUAUAAAAAGCCAACAAAAUGUAAUUUUUUGUUUUUCGGGCAAUCUUUGUAACAAAAAAAACAGAUAGUAGCAAAAUAAAAAAAAACAUUCAAGGUGAUUUAGACUUCUGGAUUCCUCUAUUUUCUUUCACCUUAAGUUUUUAUUUUAUAUUUUUUUUCUUUUUCAUUUGGAUUUAUUUCUCUAAAAAAGGUCAAGAAAAGGGUGAAAGGCGAUACCUUUCACUUGCGGCACGCCAUCGUCGGAGAUCCCUUCUGCGCCGGAGCCGUAGAAAUCCUCCGGGGUUUCGUUUAGGCCGCGCCAGAGGAGAGACGGGCAAAAAGGAGCAGCCCCUCCCCUUUUCUUUUCAUUUUCCGGCAAGGCGAAGCCGCGAUGAGGCCACGGCGAGGCCUUCGCACAAGCUCACCGAUGGUGUGGCCGGAUUCAAAGGGGAGAGGAAGCGUUUUUAACAGAGAGGGGAAGAGAGUGAUUUGAGUUUUUUUUUAUUUUAACUGUAAAAAAUGUAUUUUUUGUAAAAAAUUUCUUUUCAAAUAACCCCCCACGAAGCGACGCCGUUUUAGGCUUUCCUGACCCGCGUGGUGACCCGACCCAGGGGAGGAUCCGCGCGUUUUCUGUAAAUGGGGUAUUUACGCAAUAAGUCCCUCUGAGUUUGUGGCACUUUCGAGGCAGUUCUCUGUAUUUUUGCAAUUUAGCCCCGCAUUUUUGUUUCUGUUUCAUUUUAGUCCCCUGAAACGCCACGUUUUGAGAUUUUGGCUUAUUUUCAGUUUUGGUCCCCCCUCUUUCAGUGUGCGUCGCGAUUUAGUCUCUUUUGCCUUUUCUUAUUUCGAUUUCGCCCAAUACUCUCGUUUUUAUUUCGAUUUAAUCCAUAUUUUAGUAAUUCUAUUAUUUAGUUAUUAUUAUUAUCUUUAUUAUUAUUAUUAUAUUUAUUAAUAUUAUUGUUAUUAUUAUGUUUUUAUAUUUACUUAUGCAAAUUUUAGAUAUGUGUUCUAUUAUACUAUUAUUAUAUAACUUUUUUUAUACAUAUAUGUAUAUAUAUAUUUUUCUAACUUAUUUAAUAUAUAUAAAUACUCAAUUUUAUAUACGUAUCUAUAUAUAUAUUUUAUAUAUUAAAAUAUGUAUAUCAUAUGUUAUUUUAUGUUAUUUUUAUAAUCCACAUAUGUAUCUCUUUACAUUUAAUUGUAUUUACUACUUAUUUAUUUCAUUUUCUUUAUUUUUUUGAAUAAAUGUUUUAAUUUAUUUGUUUAUAUAUUGUUAUUUUAUAUGAUUGUAAGUAUGACUUUUAUUUAUUUUAUAUUGUUGCUAUUGCUCGUAUCAUUUUUAUACUUUUGCGUACAUUAUGAUUUUAUCAUGCAUAACAACAAUGUAAUUGGCUUUCGUAUUUUUUUUACUACGAUUUUCGUAUUUCAUUUUAUUUGAUAUAACAAAGUUGUUUUGAAUAAAUAAUAUUUUGUGUUUAGAUUCGAGAAAAUCGUACCCUAACUUACUGGGUUUCGAUUUUCACGGUAAACCCAAAUGCACGAAUCUUUUUAAACUCGAAUUCUAAAUAAUCUCGGGUUUUAAAAACAAAAUCGCGUCCUAACUUAUUGGUCGUGAUCUCAUUUUUAAAUUCGAGAUAGCUAAAAUAUCUUUUAAACAAGCAUUUUUAUGUAUUGGGAAUUCGAGAUAUUAUGUCCUAACUUACUGGAUAUGAUUCUCUUUCUCGAAUAACGUGAAAUAUGCCCUUUCUUUGAAAAUUUUCAACGUUUUAAUACAAGGAUCGUAUUUUUAAAUUUCUUUAAAGUUUUCGGUUUUUCGACACUAAGACAUUAAGUAAUCAACUAAGUACCAAUUUUGGGCGUAUCGAGGAUGCUAAUCUUUCCUCGUGCGUAACCGACUCCCGAACCCGUUUUUCUGAAUUUCGUGGACUAAACUCAUUGUUUUAAUAAAAUUAAACCGUUUAUUAAAAACAACCACUUUUACGAGGUGACCCAAUCACACAUCAUCAAAAAGGAUUGGUGGCGACUCCCGUUUUUUUUGUUUUCGUCAAAACCCAAGUCGACCCCGUUUUUUCAUCCAAAAAAUGGUGUCAACAGAGAUAACUAGAUUAUCUCUGAAAAAUUAAAAUUCCAAUGUAGCAUAUAAUUUUAAGAGUUUUAUUACCAAAGAAAGCAAACAGAGACAUGAAGCAGCCAAUUACAUCGUACAAACAUGGAGUUAACAAAAUAGAAGGAUGUUCAUAUAAACACAACGAUGGGACUCCUCACUUUGUGCUCACCAUCGUCCCACACUAAAGCACCAGACACCAUAGCUUUAUCCAUUGUCGCUUCCACUAUUACUUCAAAAGACAGCUUUUGUCCCACCGAUGUGAACGACAGAACAUCGGGGUUAACCCUGAUUUUCAACGUACCUGUCGAAAAACUCAGGUUAGCUCUGUAAACCGCCGUCGGAGAUCCCACGUUUGUGACGGUCCUUUUGAAGGUACGGCUGAAUGGUUUCAAUGGCGAAGUGGAAAGACCAAAGGAAGGGUAGUUUAGUUCCGAAACUGUCCCAUUAGUGUCUUCAGGACAAGUGGAGUUGUCUUUGGAUAAUAAUUGUAUUAACCGAGUGGCGUAUCCUUGUCCGCAUAAGAAGUUUAUGUAAUCGGUUUCAUUGGCAUCGUAUACUAGACCUGGAUUUGCAGCUUUUAAAGGAUUCAAAUGGCCUGAACCGUAUGCAAAUUCAGCUUCCAUGUUGAUGCCAGAGCUCAUGGGGGCGGCUGCAAUUAACAUUGCAAUUGGAAAUUUAAGUGAAAGUUGUACCUAAUCGAACUAUAAAACAUAUUUGUUAUGAGGUUUAUAAUUAAUUACCUGUGGUCAUAAGGGCAGAUUGAAUAGCAGCAGGAGACCAUGUGGGAUGAAAUGAUUUAACGUAGGCAGCUGCACCAGAAACAUGAGGACAAGACAUUGAUGUUCCUGAGAUUAUGUUGAAUGUCACGAACCUGUUGUCGCCUGGAACUAAAGAAACAGGAGAAAUUGAAGACCACGCUGCUAGAAUGUGAACCCCUGGUGCUGAUAUAUCUGGCUGCAAACAACAAUUUAAUGAAAAAAAAAACCAUCAAUCCGUCACAAGUUUCUGCAAAAUCAUAUACUAUAAUAUAUUUGGAAAGAUUUGGAUAAAAAUAUUAAACCAAAGCUUUUUUAUCAUUCAAGAGCAAAAUCACGCUCGGCCUCACCCAACCAUUUUUUUUCUAAAUCUAUAAUAUAUUGUUUUUUUUCUUAUAUUAAAUUGUAAUUUAUAUCCCAUCAAAAAAAUAUUUUAAGUUAUCUAUUUUUAAAAUUUUAAUAAAAGAAAAAUAUUAAAAUACUAUAAUUUUAAAAAUUAUAUUGUUUGGAAUUGAGCAAAAAAAAAAUCAAAGAUUGACCCAAAUCGAGGUGUUUAGAUGAUGAAAUACAAGUUAAAAUAUUAUGGUUAUCCAAACUGAGCCGAAUGCUACUUUUUUGUUUAAUUUAUAAUUAAUUUUAAUUUUUAUAAUUUAAAAAAUAAAUAUUUUAUAUUUAAAAUAGUGAAAAUAACUUAAAAGUUCUAUAUAGAAAUAUUUUUUAAAAUUACCAUAUAAAAGUUAUUGGUUAUUUUUUAUUUACUUGAAAAAAUAAAUUUUCUAGAAAUAUUUAUAAAAAAAAAAGUUGAAAUUUUAUCAAAUGAUAUUCAAAAGAUAUAAAAUAAAACUCAUUUUAUCAAAAUAAAUCUAAAAAUCUAAAUAAGGAUAAAUCGAGAAUCGAAUUGAAUUAUGAUAAACGAUUUAAAAAAAACGACCAAACUAAACUAAACUCACCCCUAAUAUCGACAAACUUAAACAAAUUUGGAUUAAAUAUUUACUAAUACAAGUAGGCUUGAAUUAAAUCCGUCGACCCACGAAUACUUCUAUAUUUACCUUAAAAGAUGUUUAUGUUUUAUAUAUUGGACACAAUUAUUGAAAGAAAAAAAAGUCAAACCAUUAAAUUUUCCAUCAAUUUACCUUAAUAAUCUCGGGUGUAAUCGGAUUCGGACCUCUCGACGAGAAAGAGAUGAUAUAAGGAGCCAAUGAGUCAUUAACCUCACUACUCCUGAAUAUAGUUGCUGUUGGAGCACUACAAAAACAUAUAGGCAAAGUCUUACAUGAUAUUCAUUUGUGUAUUCAUAUUGUAUUCGUAUCGAGUAAUCGUACCUGCUGGAGUUUACGUACUGAAAAAUGUUGCGACCGUCAACAAAGUUAAAACAAGAUGCAGGCAAAGGAAAAAGGCUAGAAUAGUCAAUGCUGUCCUGGCCUCGAGCCACGGUCCCAGCUGCACCAGCCAAAAGGGCUCCUAUCCCAUUAGUGCGUAUCGUAUCACAAAGAACAAUCUUACCCUUCACCAAAUUUUUAUCCAAUGAAUUCGAAAAACAUAACCUGCACUUAAAUGAUUAGAUCACUAAAAUAUUAAUAGUAUAAAAAGAUAUUAAAAAAUGAAAUACUUUAAUUUUACACAUGUGUAACUGGAUCAAUUAAAAAAAGAGAAGCUAAGUUUAUUUACCUGGAUGAUCUACUAGAUGUUGUAGUAGUGUUUGGUGCAUCUCCACCAUAAAUCAUAGGGUAUGUUUUAUUCUUGAGAUCAAAUGUAUUUAUUGAUACUCCCUACAUACAACCAUACAUACAUAUAUAUGAUAACUAUCAUUAUAAAUCUAUGACUAUAAAUCAUGUAUGUAUUUAUAUUACCUCAUAAAUCUUGUUGUUGCCAAGUUGAACCUUGGUGGAAAACUUGCGAUCGAUGGUGCUAGCUGCCACGGAAAGCGACCACGGUGAGAAAUUAGAGAUCGUUGAACGUCCAGGGCCUUCGUUACCCGCAGAACUUACAGUCAGUAUACCGUUUUUCAUGGCAUGAAAAGAUGCGAUAUCGAUCGCAUCUUCGAAAUAGUCUCUGGUCCGUCCUCCACCGAGUGAAAUUGAUAUAAUAUCGACUCCAUCAGAGAUCGCAUCAUCGAAUCCCGCGAGAAUGUCGGCAUCCUGACAACCAUCGGACCAACAUACUUUGUACACCGCAAUGCGUGCCGAUGGAACCCCUCCUCGAGCUGUUCCUGAACCAAAGCCGUAGAGACUUGCACCGUCGACUAAAUUCCCGGCUGCCGUGGAAGCAGUAUGAGUCCCAUGACCGUCGAAGUCUCUCGGAGAUUCAAAGUCUUCCGGUAAAAACAGUCCAUCGCUGCGGUAAUAUUUUGCACCUAUGAUCUUGCUGCAUUUGAACAUAUAGCAAUAUUAGUUAGACAUUUGAAGCACUAAGAUUUCUCCCAUAUCGAACAUAUACUUGUAUCCGAAGCGCACCCCUAAACCCAGUAACAUAACCCAAAAAAAGAAACAAAAGUUACUUGUUGCAAGUGAAAUUGUCUUGUGGUUGAAAUUGGCAACUGCCUUUCCAUUUGGAAGGAGGUGGACCAAGUCCUUUGUCAUCAAAGCUUAGAGAUUCAGGCCAAAUUCCAGUGUCUAAAACACCAAUGAUAACAUCACUUUCCAUGGUUGCUCUUUCAACUUGUUGAGGGAAUCCCAUAAAAUCCCAUGACCUUGUUGUAUGUAGUUUUCUCUUUUCAUUUGGAAACACUGAUACUACACCCUUCAUUCCUGAACAUAUCCAAACAACCAAAUUCAAAUUAAGCUCGAAGAUCUGCGUCUUAAUCCACAGAGUAUUUCCGCUUUGACUUUUAAAGUAGACCUAUUAUUAUAACUCGAACUUGAAAUUUUGAUUUGUUUAACUCGAAUAUGAACUUGAUCUAACUUGAUUUGAUAUAAAAAGUAACAAUAUGAAACCAGAGGGGCAUGGUAAGGUCUUGACCCUCACCUUGGUUGAAUGAGAACUCUUUAAUCCUUCCCAAAAAAUUGUAUUUUUUUAGCAUUUUCAAAAGAUUAAUAAUAUAAUUUAAGCUUUUGAAUAUAAAAAUUUUAACCUUGAUCCCUUCAAAGUUUUAUAAUUUUAUUUUGGAUCUCUAAAAACUUCAUUGCUUCACCCUUGAAACUGGUUCAACUUGAACUAAAAAAUGAACCAAACUUAAGUGCCAAAUCCGAAUGAAAAAAACUCAAAAAGCUCAAUUGAAAAAUCUGAAUGAUUCAAUUUUGAAAUUGACCUGAACUCAAAAAUAAUUCAAACUCGAAGUAAUAUAAAAAUUUUAAAACUUGAAUUGACUCAAUCUAGAAUAAUCAAAUUUGGAAUCAAUUGAACAUGUCUGGUUACAAGUCUAGUUGAAAAUAUAGCGCUCUCUUUUUUACUUGAAAUUCUUAUAAUUUUGUCUAAAGUUUACCAAUCUAACCCUUGAUUGAAUCAUUCAAAUCAUCUGUUAAUUCAAAUUGGUUCGCUCAAUUUAAAUGUUGACCUAAUAAUAAUUAAAUAAUUAAUUCAAAAAUCAUAAAUAUUAUAAAAUCGAUUGAAGCGGCAAUUUUUUAUUUUGAUUUCUAGUUUUUUUAAUUGAACCCAAAUGAUUCACUCAAAAAUCAAUUCAACUCUUGUUUUCAUAUCGAUAUAUUGAUCGGUCUUGUUCCACCAAUCCGACCUAUCAAUCUAAUUCGAUACAAAUAACACUGCUUUUAUCUCAUAAAAAAUAAUUGAUAAAUACAAACUUAAAUGUUUGUGUAUAUAUCAUAAUGGAUUUGAAGAAAUUUUAAAUGUGAGGUUGGAGUGUUACACUUACCGGCCAUUUUUUGUGCUUCUUCCUCAGUCAAAUCCACCACGAACCCAUUAAAACUCUUUUUGUAGCUGUACAGCACUGUCUUCGACUCACUGCAUUCAUUCCAAUUGCAUGCUCAAUCUCAAUAACCAGUAGUAGGUCUUAUUUUGUUUUGGGAUAAAUAUAAUUAAAUAUUACAAUUAAUAAUUAAUUAAACACUUGUAAAAUAGAAUUUAAAAUUCCAUAUUUACUAUCUAAAAAAAUGUACUCGUCCCGCUCUUUAUUCACUUAAAAAAAACUGCUCCAUUCGGAACAAUUUAAUUUAAAAUCCGUUGUAUGAUUUGAAUUUUGUCAUCUCUACUUUGCUUUCAAGAUUCUUUUUUAAAGAAAUUAAAACGUUAGAAUAUAAGAACAUAUAUUUUCUUAUCUAUAUUUGAAUAUAAGGAUAAAGUCAGAAAAUUAUUUUAGAGAAGUUAGAGAUAAAUCAUAAAUUAUUGAUUAACGGUAUAAUUUUAUCAUUAUAUUAAUAUAUAAUUUUAUAAAAAUUUAAGAAAUUAAAUAAUAAAUCUAUUAUUAGGAGGGGCUAAGGCUAUUGACUGCCCUUUUACCUUGGUCCCUGUUUAUAUAUAUAUAUAUAUAUAAAAUAUAAAUAUCAGAUACGGAUAUUUAAAGAAAAAAUCAGAGGCAACAUAUGUUUACACACCUGCCAAAAACAUCUUGUACCAUGCUGCUAUGAAGCAAAGCUGUGGAAGCUCCAUCUUUAAGUCGGUCACCCAUAUACACAAUAUAGCUCUGAAUAUUCACCGAUUACAAUUUUUAUUUUUCUUAAAAUGAAGUUCAUCACCAAUGGAAAUUUUAGAAAAAAAAAAAAAGACAAGAAAUUAAAUCCAGUAUUAACCUUUCGAUUGGCAUUGGCGUUGGAUUGAAAAAGAUGAGAGGCUGCUUUGGUAGUAAGAAGAGCUAAAAGAAAGCAAUGAAGUAGAUAUUUUCCUCCCUCCAUUGAAACAAUGCUCACACAAAAAUAAAUAACAAACUUUUCCAAGUAGUAUAUUUAUGGAGAAAAAUAGAUGCUAAAGUCUUAGUCUUUGUGGAAAUAAAUUAUAUUAGAAAUUUAAACUUUUCAUACUUUUCUUUUGUUUUAAUUUAUAUUUGGGAUAAUAUUUAAAAUUGUAUAUAAAUUUGUUGGAUAAUUACUACAAAAUUUCCUUUACAGUAAUUUUAGUAAAAUGUCAAAGUUUUAGAGAAAAGAAAUAUGAGAAAAUCAAGAAGAAUGACUCAAGCUCUCAUUUUGUUGCUUAUAAAAAAUAAUGACCUCCUAUUUAUAGGAUUCGGGUAAAGUAGUUCAGGGAAUUCAAAGGCCAUAUUGCAAUGAUCAGAUUCUGACGAUCAUAUUAUUGCAUUACCUUCGUUAUAAAUUAUAUUUGGGAUAAUAUUUAAAACUGGACAUGAAUUUUAUGUUAUAAUUAUUUCUUUAAAUAUAAUUAUAUUUAAAAAGAAAUUGGAUAAACCAUUUGUUUUAUUUAUGUUUGGAUUAAAUUUUUAAUUUUUAAAAAUAAUCGUGUAUUAUGUCUAUUUCCUACCAUGGUAGCUCAUUAAAUAAGUGUUCCUAAAUUUUUAUAUUUUUGUGGGUAUGAACAUAUGACCUACAUUUUGAUUUUUCUUUAGUAUCAAUAAAUUUGGGGUCACCAAUUGCUACAACUAGUGAACUACUUUUCAAUAUUAUUAUUAUUUCAUUAAAGAUGGAGAAAAGUAUUUUUGAGAUUGAGAAAAUAUUAGGUAAAUUGUUCCUAUUAAAUAAAUUAUUAUUUUAUUUGAUAAUUUAUUGUAUAAUAAUGUUUUUUUUUCUUUAAGUAUUACUUAAGGGUGAAUUCAGUUUGAUUUGAUAAUAUUUUUUUAAAAAAAUUUAAAUUUAUUUAUGAUAAUUUUGAGUUUUAAGUUGUCGAAUUUUAUUUUAACAAAAAGAAAAGAUAUAUACAUAUAUUGAAAAAUAAGUUUCAUAUAGAAUUUUACGUAUUUCUAAAGGGAUUUGAAUAAGUAACAAACUUAACCACGAAGUUAGAAUAGGAGAAAAUAGGUCAAAUUCUGUUAUUAGACACUAUAUUUUGAAUAAGUUGUGAAUUUAGUACCUAUAUAUUAAUUUAGUCAUUUUCAAUCUCUAUACUUUAAAAGUUUUAAUCUUGACCAAAUGAAAGCUAUCACAUUAAUUAAGUUCUGUUAUUUUUAAAAUUUGACACGUCAAACAUAUUAUCGCAUAUGUAAUGUCAUGUCAACUUGCCAUCUCCAUAUAUUACUCACAGAAAACCAAUUAAUAGAUUUAACAGUUGUCGUUUACAUUAAGAUUAAGAUUUCGAAAAUUAGAAAAUAUAAGACUAAGAACGAUCCAAUUCGAGAACAUGAACUAAAUCCCUAACUUUACACAUAAUGCAGGACUAAUAAUAAAAUUUAACCAAAUAGAUUUAAUUGCUAUUGUUUGGUCAGGAUUAAUUUUUUUAAAAUUAAAAAAAUAAAUAGACUAAUAUUAAUCAAAUUAAAAUACGUGUAUUAAAUCUACAAUUUAUGUAAAAUACAUGUUCUAAUGGCAGAAUUUGACCGGAGAAAAUAUGAUAAAUCAGUUUGACUUUAGCUUGUAUGUGGUAGAAUGACAUUAUAUGGUUUUAUUGGGCAUUCUUUGGUGGCGUGUAUGGGAAGCAACCAAAAAAAGGGUAAACCUCAUUAAUCGCUAAUUUACGUAUUUGACAAUCGAAUCGAUAAAAUUUGUAUAUGUAGAGAUUGAAUCGAUUGAUUUAAUUUAGAAUUAAAAUUAAAAUAAUAAAAUAUAUAAAUUUAAAAGCUACAUAUAUUAUUAUACCAAUUAGAUAAAAGUCAUCUUUUCUAUUAACAAUUUAAUAAUAAUGUUAGUGAUAAAUUUGUAAAUUUUUAUACCUUGGGUGUCUACUUGCUAUAUAAAAUUUUUUAGUUUUCAUAAUCAUUUUUCGAAAAAUUAUUUUUCAAAUAAAAAAAUGAUUUUUAUAUAACAUUUUAGCUAAAAUUCUAGAGGGUGUGGAAAUAAAUAACGAACUAAUUUGUCUCCUAACAUGUCCAGAGAGAGACAUAGUGUUAGAAUAGGAGAAAAUAUUGCAAAUCAGUUUGAUUUUAGUUUAAAGAGGUGAAAAUGACCUCUUGGCAUUAUUCGUCGGUCUGUAUGGGGACGCAAGAAAAAUAUUACAAAAAGGCAUAAUGUCAAUUUUAGAUUUUCAUCUUCUUAACUUUUAUCAAUUUGGUUAAAGUUGACAUUAAAACGCCUUUUGAGUACUAAUUCUUAAUUAAUAAGCAACAAAUAAAAUUAGAAUCUACAUUUUCAAAGGUUAAUAUGUUAAGGGUAGACUACAUUAGUCACUAAAUUAUAGAUAAGUUUUCGUUUUGGUCACUUAACUAAAAAAGUUACAAUUUAGUCAUUGAACUAUUCGAAAGUUUUCAUUAAAGUCACUGGACUCUUAAAAUCGGUGCUAUAUGGUUUUCUCUAUCCGUACUGCCUGCACCAAUCAAAAGUUCUUUUUCCCAUUCUCUUUUGCAGUUUGUUUUUUUUUUCAUAAAACAAUUUUGGACAUCAUGAAUCUACGGACCAAAAUUCAAAUAGCUUUUUUUUUUUCUGAUCUUCGAUACUGACCGUCAGAUCGACUUGGACUUCAGGUAUAUUCUUCUACUCAUAGAUGGGUACUAAUCCAUCAUAUCGAUCAUCAUUUAGAGCUUGUUGGUGGAACUUUAAAAAAAAAAAAAGACCUAAUAGCUUAGUAACUUAAAUAAAAAAUUUUAAACAGUUCAGUGACUUAAAUGAAAACUUUUGAAUAAUUUAAUAAUCAAAUUGUAUCUUUUUUAAGUUAGUGGCCAAAACUAAGAUUACCCUUUAUUUAGUGACUAAUAGUAUAGUUUACCCAUAUAUUAAAUAAGACCUUGAAUUUUGUCAUCACUUUAUUUAGAUAAAGCGCUUAUACUUUUACUAUACUUAAAUAAACCAUUAAAAUUUUAUGGGUAAACUAAAUUAGUAGUCAUCCAACUAUUAGUAAAUUUUUUAGUCACAAAAUUAUGAAAAAUUACAAAUUGGUCACCCAACUAUUCAAUUUUGUCUUUUUUGGUCACUAACUAGCUAACGGUGAUAGCUUUUAAAAUUGACAUAAUAGCAACUUUAACACUAAAUAUUUAUAAAUUAUGUCAAUUUAGAAUUGAUUCUAAAAAAUUAACUCUCAACAUUUACACAAUGUGUAAUUUGGUUUUUUUUUUUUUUGCAAUUUUACUUUUCUUUGUUGCAUGAAGGUUAAUUUUAAAAGAAUGAGAAAAGAUUAAAAUUAUUAUCUUAGAAUUUUUUGGUAUUUCCAUUUUUUGUAUAUCAAUCAAAUUCAACUAAUAAAAUUGUUUUUUUUAGCUUUUUAGGUGAAAGUGUCACAAAAUAAAACUUCAAAAAAGACCAAAUUUCUCAAUAUGUAAACGUUGAGGGUUAGAUUUUUUUGAAUCAAGACUAAAUUUAUACAAUGUAUAAAUGUCAAGGGUUAAAGUUACUAUUAUGCCAAUUUUAAAAGCUGUCACCAUUAGCCUAGACCAAAAAAAGACAAAAUUGAAUAGUUUGGUGAACAUUUUGUAACUUUCCAUAGUUGAGUGACCAAAAUAAAAAAUCAAAUAAUUAAGUGACCAUGUUGUAACUUUUGAUUGUUAGGUGAUCAAAAAAGAAAUUUACUAAUAGUUGAGUGACCACAAUUGUAGUUUAUGCAACUUUUAUUGAUACCAUAUAAGACUUAAUCUCUAACCUGUAUACAAAUAAACCCUUAAAAUUUAAGUUAUAUCUAAAUAAAACUCUUAAUAUAAAUCAUUAUUUCAUUUACAAUAAGAGCUAAUUCAAAUACAAAUAAAAGUAUAAUAACUUAUUUGGGUACAACAAAAAAUAUAGGGACUUAUUUAAUGAAUGUAAUCUAGUUCAAGGGCACUUUUGGUAGUUUAGCCUUUUCAAAUUUCAGGUUUUCACAGCUAUGAUAUUGAAGCAAAUACAACUAUUGGACUCCUCGCUUUACGCACACCAUCAUCCCACACUAAAGAACCAGAAACCAUAGAUAUGCAUCCAUUGUUCCUUCAAUUAUUACUUGAAAAGACAGCUUUUGUCCCACAGAUGUAAACGACAAAACAUUAGGGUUAACUCAGACUCUAGCUGUUCUUGUCGGAAAACUCACUCUUGCUCUAUACGUUGCCAUCGGAGAUCCCACAUUCGUAACAGUUCUAUUGAAAACACGACGAACAGUUGUUGAAGAAGAAGUGAAAACAGCAAAUGAAGGAUAGUUUAGAUCCGAAAGUACUGUUCCAUUUGUUGCUGCAGAACAUGUUGCAUUAUCCCUAUUAACUUGUCGAAGAAACCAAGUGUCAUAUCCUUGUCCGCAUAAAAAAAUUUAUGUAAUCAACUUCAUUGGAAUCGUAGAUUAAGCCUGGAUUUAUAGCUUUGAUUGGGUUCAAAUGGCCUGAUCCGUAUGCAAACUCAGCGUCCGAGUUCAUGCAUGAACUCAUAGGGGAAGCUGUAGUGAUAAGGGAAGAUUUGAUAGCAGAAGGAGACCAAGUGGGAUGAAACGACUGCGGCAGAAACAUGGGGACAAGCCAUUGAUGUGCCUGAGAUUAUGUUAAAUGGAACCCAUCUAUUAUCGCGCCUCUAUUUUGGGAAACUGGUGAAGCUAAAGACCAUGCAGCUACAAUAUCAACCCCUGGUGCUGACAAAUCUGGCUGUAAUUAUUACCCACAAAAAUUUAGAAAACUUAGGAUUAAGUUACGCCUAAGCUUGCUAUUAACAUAUUUUAUAAGUUCGGCUUAAAAUUUUGUUUAAAUUAACACAUAUUUAUAAAUAACUAAUUUAAAUCUAUUUUAGAUCUGCCUAUAUUAUUUUUAAAAAAUAAAAUAUAUAUUUAUAUUAUUUUUAAUUUAAUAUUUAAUAACUUUAUAUAUUUUUUAUUUAUUAAAAUUUUAUAUAUAGUUACCUAACAUUUUUUAAUUUUUAGAUUAUAGUAGUAUUAUAUAGUACUAUAGAUUUAAUUUUUAUAAAUGAUAUAAUAUAUAAAAAUAACGUAAUAUAAAAUAUUAGAAACAUACAAAUUGAGUCGGACUUGGGUUUUAAAUUUUCAAUCAUAGAGAUAACUAGAUUAUAUCUGAAAAAUCAAAAUUUUAAUAUAGCAUAUAAUUUUAAGAGUUUUAUUACCACAGAAAGCAAACAGAGACAUGAAGCAGCCAAUUACAUCGUACAAACAUGGAGUUAACAAAAUAGAAGGAUGUUCAUAUAAACGCAACGAUGGGACUCCUCACUUUGUGCUCACCAUCGUCCCACACUAAAGCACCAGACACCAUAGCUUUAUCCAUUGUCGCUUCCACUAUUACUUCAAAAGACAGCUUUUGUCCCACCGACGUGAACGACAGAACAUCGGGGUUAACCCUGAUUUUCAACGUACCUGUCGGAAAACUCAGGUUAGCUCUGUAAACCGCCGUCGGAGAUCCCACGUUUGUGACGGUCCUUUUGAAGAUACGGCUGAAUGGUUUCAAUGGCGAAGUGGAAAGACCAAAGGAAGGGUAGUUUAGUUCCGAAACUGUCCCAUUAGUGUCUUUAGGACAAGUGGAGUUGUCUUUGGAUAAUAAUUGUAUUAGCCGAGUGGCGUAUCCUUGUCCGCAUAAGAAGUUUAUGUAAUCGGUUUCAUUAGCAUCGUAUACUAGACCUGGAUUUGCAGCUUUUAAAGGAUUCAAAUGGCCUGAACCGUAUGCAAAUUCAGCUUCCAUGUUGAUGCCAGAGCUCAUGGGGGCGGCUGCAAUUAACAUUGCAAUUGGAAAUUUAAGUGAAAGUUGUACCUAAUCGAACUAUAAAACAUAUUUGUUAUGAGGUUUACAAUUAAUUACCUGUGGUCAUAAGGGCAGAUUGAAUAGCAGCAGGAGACCAUGUGGGAUGAAAUGAUUUAACGUAGGCAGCUGCACCAGAAACAUGAGGACAAGACAUUGAUGUUCCUGAGAUUAUGUUGAAUGUCACGAACCUGUUGUCGCCUGGAACUGAAGAAACAGGAGAAAUUGAAGACCACGCUGCUAGAAUGUGAACCCCUGGUGCUGAUAUAUCUGGCUGCAAACAACAAUUUAAUGAAAAAAAAAACCCAUCAAUCCAUCACAAGUUUCUGCAAAAUCAUAUGCAAUAAUAUAUUUGGAAAGAUUUAGAUAAAAAUAUUAAACCAAAGCUUUAGCAAAAUCACGCUCAGCCUCACCUAACCCUUUUUUUUCUAAAUCUAUAAUAUAUUGUUUUAUUUUCUUAUAUUAAAUUGUAAUUUAUAUCGCAUCAAAAAAAUAUUUUAAGUUAUCUAUUUUUAAAAUUUUAAUAAAAUAAAAAUAUUAGAAUACUAUAAUUUUAAAAAUUAUAUUGUUUAGAAUUGAGUAAGAAAAUAAAAAAAAUCAAAGAUUGAUCCAAAUCGAGGUGUUUAGAUGAUGGAAUACAAGUUAAAAUAUUAUGGUUAUCCGAACUGAGCCAAAUGCUACUUUUUUGUUUAAUUUAUAAUUAAUUUUAAUUUUUAUGAUUUAAAAAAUAAACAUUUUAUAUUUAAAAUAGUGAAAAUAACUUAAAAGUUCUAUAUAGAAAUAUUUUUUAAAAUUACCAUAUAAAAGAUAUAGUUUAUUUUUUAUUUACUUGAAAAAAUAAUUUUUCUAGAAAUAUUUAUAAACAAAAAAAAGUUGAAAUUUUAUCAAAUGAUAUUCAAAAGAUAUAAAAUAAAACUCAUUUUUUCAAAAUAAAUCUAAAAAUCUAAAAAAGGAUAAAUCGAGAAUCGAAUUGAAUUAUGAUAAACGAUUUUAAAAAAAACGACCAAACUAAACUAAACUCACCCCUAAUAUCGACAAACUUAAACAAAUUUCGAUUAAAUAUUUACUAAUACAAGUAGGCUUGAAUUAAAUCCGUCGACCCACGAAUACUUCUAUAUUUACCUUAAAAGAUGUUUAUGUUUUAUAUAUUGGACACAAUUAUUGAAAGGAAAAAAGUCAAACCAUUUAAUUUUCCAUCAAUUUACCUUAAUAAUCUCGGGUGUAAUCGGAUUCGGACCUCUCGACGAGAAAGAGAUGAUAUAAGGAGCCAAUGAGUCAUUAACCUCACUACUCCUGAAUAUAGUUGCUGUUGGAGCACUACAAAAACAUAUAGGCAAAGUCUUACAUGAUAUUCAUUUGUGUAUUCAUAUUAUAUUCGUAUUGAGUAAUCGUACCUGGUGGAGUUUACGUACUGAAAAAUGUUGCGACCGUCAACCAAGUUAAAACAAGAUGCAGGCAAAGGAAAAAGGUUAGAAUGGUCAAUCCCGUCCUGGUCUCGAGCCACGGUCCCAGCUGCACCAGCCAAAAGGGCUCCUAUCCCCUUACUGCGUUUCGUAUCACAGAGAACAAUCUUACCCUUCACCAAAUUUUUAUCCAAUGAAUUCGGAAAACAGAAUCUGCACUUCAACGAUUGGAUCAUUAAAAUAUUAAUAGUAUAAAGAGAUACGAAAAGAUAAAAUACUUUAGUUUUACACAUGUGGAACUAGAUCAAUUAAAAAAGAAAAAAAAAGGCUAAGUUUAUGUUACCUCGAUGAUGUAGUAGAUGUUGAAGUAGUGUUUGCUGCGUCUCCGCCAUAAAUCAUAGGGUACGUUUUAUUCUUGAGAUCAAAUGUAUUUAUUGAUACUCCCUACAUUACAACCAUACAUAUAUAUAUAAUAACUAUCAUUAUAAAUCAUAAAAUUGAUAUAUGAUUAUAAAUCAUGCAUGUAUUUAUAUUACCUCAUAAAUCUUGUUGUUGCCAAGUUGAACCUUGGUGGAAAACUUGCGAUCGAUGGUGCUAGCUGCCACAGAAAGCGACCACGGUGAGAAAUUAGAGAUCGUUGAACGUCCAGGGCCUUCGUUACCUGCCGAACUUACAGUCAGUAUACCGUUUUUCAUGGCGUGAAAAGAUGCGAUACUGAUCGCAUCUUCGAAAUAGUCUCUGGUCUGUCCUCCGCCGACUGAAAUUGAUAUAAUAUCGACUCCAUCAGAGAUCGCAUCAUCGAAUCCCGCGAGAAUGUCGGCAUCCUCACAACCAUCGGACCAACAUAUUUUGUACACCGCGAUGCGUGCUGAUGGAACCCCUCCUCGAGCUGUUCCUGAACCAAAGCCGUAGAGACUUGCACCGUCGACUAAACUCCCUGCUGCCGUGGAAGCAGUAUGAGUCCCAUGACCGUCGGCGUCUCUUGGAGAUUCAAAGUCAUCCGGUAAAAACAGUCCAUCGCUGCGGUAAUAUUUUGCACCUAUGAUCUUGCUGCAUUUGAACAUAUAGCAAUAUUAGUUAGACAUUUGAAGCACUAAGAUUUCUCCCAUAUCGAACAUAUACUUGUAUCCGAAACGCACCCCUAAACCCAGUAACAUAACCCAAAAAAAGAAACAAAAUUUACUUGUUGCAAGUGAAAUUGUCUUGUGGUUGAAAUUGGCAACUGCCUUUCCAUUUGGAAGGAGGUGGACCAAGUCCUUUGUCAUCAAAGCUUAGAGAUUCAGGCCAAAUUCCAGUGUCUAAAACUCCAAUGAUAACAUCACUUUCCAUGGUUGCUCUUUCAACUUGUUGAGGGAAUCCCAUAAAAUCCCAUGACCUUGUUGUAUGUAGUUUU